GACGGGAGCCAUGGCCCCCCUCCUCCUCAAGCUGGCCGACCUGCUCAAGGAGGAGUACAAGCUGCACAAGGACCUCAGGAAGGAAGUGGAGUCUCUCUCACUAGAUCUCGAGAGCUUGCACGGCGCCCUCCACAAGGUGGCUCAGGUGCCGCGCGACCAACUCGACGAGCAGGUCUGGAUCUGGGCCCGUGAGGUCAGGAAGGCGUCGUACGCCAUGGAGGACAUCGUCGACUCCUUCCUGGUACGCGUGGACGGCGGCCAUGACCAUGAAGCCGAGGCCAAGAAGACUGGCCUCAGGCGGUUCAAGGACAAGACGAGGAACAUGUUCAACUUGAAGAAGCUGGCAGACCGCCGUAGCAUCGCUGGCAAGAUCCAAGACAUCAAGAAUCAACUCCAGGCUAUAGCCUUGCGGCGUUCCAUGUACAGAGUCGACGAUAUCGUGGCCAAGCCUGCCGCGACAACACUAACCAUGGAUGAUCCCCGCCUCUUGGAUCUGCAGAGAGUGACAAAGCUCUUUGGCAUUGAAGAACCACGGGAGAAGCUCAUAAGUAUGUUGUUCGAGGGGGAGGAUAGUCACGGUGCGCACAAAGAGAUGAAGAUAGUCUCCAUCGUCGGAUAUGGCGGACUUGGCAAAACCACCCUUGCCAAAGCUGUUUAUGAUAAGCUGAAGGUGAAAUUCCAGUGUGUGGCUUUUGUUCCAGUCGGUCAGUAUCCAGACAUGAAGAAAAUUUUCUUGGACAUUCUAAUUGGCCUUGACAAGGAAAAAUAUACGAAUGCCAAUAUGAUGAUAUUGGAUCAGUAUCAGCUCAUCAGUGAAAUAAAAGGAUUUCUCCAAGAUAAGAGGUUUGUAUCGCUCACUCGGUAGAUUUCUACCACCCCCUAUAUAUAGUGGGGAACUACCAGGGAUGGAAGAAACUCCUUAGAUAAACCAUUUUCAUUUCACUUGAUUUUCCAUGAUCCAUGUAUUCAAAGUUUAGAAGGUUUGACCAUAUAUGAACAUACUUAAAACUAUAAACUUUUCCAGCUCCAUUGUUAAAACAUUCUUAUAAUAUGAAAAUAGUAGUACUUUCAGAAACAUACUAUAUAUUUAUCAAUUUAUCUGUAUAUUAUUGAAAUNUAUGGAUCUGAGUUAACUAAAGCAGGAGUUUAGUUUUGUGGAAAGACAUACAUCAUCUCUAACCGGUCCCUUGUAAUGCUUUCGAUGAGUAGAAAUUUCUGUUUUUCUCCUCGAAACCUCACCUAGCCAAUCACUCAAAAGGUUUAGAGGAGGAUAACUUUUACUCGAACACAUAUCGAUCCCUAAAUAUACUCGGCCACAGCCGGCUCGAGUAUAAAUUUUGUUCGCUCCAAAGAUGUUCAUGCAUAUCCUGUUCCCUUUACACCACCGCAACUUAGCCCCACACUGCCGCCGUUCCACCCCACUACGCUCCAUCACUCGUCGGUUGCCACAAGUUUGUUGGCAGGCCGGACGUCGUUUGUUGUUGUUUGAUGUUGAUGUACCAUGAACACGAGCUCUUCUUGAGCAAGCAGGUGUCGCUCUUCUUCAGCACGAGCUCCAAGCUAAGCACGUGCGAUGGAAGAGAUGCGGCUUGCUGCAUCCGGGCCAUGCGGUGAAGUCAUGGCCCUCGAGCAGCUCCAAGCAAAUGUCAGCCUAGGCCAGAGGAUGCCCUAGUCCACGAGCACCUUGACGCUCUUGGCACCUGAUGGGACGUUCACGUCAGAGGCCAAGCCUAAGUCUGUGGAUGCGGUUGGGUAUACCAGCGGGGCCAGCAACAUGCCGACCCACAGGUGCAGCUCCCUCGAAAUGUCGCCGCCAGACGGGAUGACAAACUUGAGCUGUUGCACCUGCGUACUUCCACGCAACUACUGCAACUGCACUCCCGAUGUGCCUGGCGUGCUCUCCAGCGUCGUCGGCAUGCAUGGGCACCAUCAUCGCCGCUCGCCGCGGAUGUACAUACUAAGUGUUCGACGAAAUAUAUGAGCCAAAUAUAGGUUUUAUAGAGUUAAUUUUAGGGAAUCGGUUAGAAACCACAAUUUCUUAGAGAAGCGAAUAUACUCUUCCAAACAAUACUCGGUCAUUUGAUGCUCUAAAUUAUAGGGGAUCGGUUAGGGAUUCUUAGUCUCUUGCGAUGACCUUGUUGAAGAUUCGAUCUGAUUAUGUCAUGCUUUUUGUUCUCGUAUGUACUUUAGGUGCAUAACUUGUUGCAUCCUAAUAUUUGUAGGUACUUCAUUGUUAUUGAUGAUAUAUGGGAUACACCAACAUGGGAAUUGAUAACAUGUGCUUUUGUUGAUAAUUAUCUUGGAAAUGUGGUAAUCACAACUACUCGCAAAUCAAAAGUUGAUAUGGGUGGUGUUGUUUAUACACCAAAAGUGCUUUCUUAUAGUGACUCCAAAAAGUUAUUCUAUACAAAAGUAUUUGGUAAAGAGGAAUGUCCUGAGAAAUAUAAAUCAGCUGGCGUGUAUGAUAAAAUUACUGAGGUGUCUGAAAAAAUUCUGAAGAAAUGCAAUGGUUCACCAUUAGCCAUCGCUACAAUAGCUAGUGUGCUAGCUAAGAAACCAAUCUUGGAAUGGUCACAUGCCUACAACACUAUAGGUUUUGGGAAUGAUGAAGAUGACUCACAAGUUAAGAGAACAAUGAAGAUAUUGUCUUUUAGCUAUUAUGAUAUGCCAUUGCAUCUAAGGGCUUGCUUAUUAUAUUUAAGCUUAUUUCCAGAGGAUUUAUUCAUCCUCAAAACAAUGUUGAUAUGGAUGUGGAUAGCCGAAGGCUUGAUUCAUGAUAAAGAAGGGGUAGGUCUAUUUGAGCUUGGAGAAAUAUAUUUUAAUGACCUUGUUAGUAGAAACAUGAUCAUGCAAGAGGACACAACGACACACAAAGGCUUCCUUAAUGGUUGCCGUGUCCAUGACAUUGUACUUCAUCUCCUUCGUUCCUUGUCAAAAGAAGAAAACUUUGUCACUAUAUUGGAUAAAGGGCAGCACGCAUCUGUUGACAGCCGACGAGUUUCCAUCGAAAAGCUCGGCUUAGACAAAAUCAGUAAUCAGGCUGUUAUGGACAUGCCACAAGUGAGGUCAGUUACUGCCUUUGGAGGUCUUAUGAACGCAUUGCCCCCACUGUCUAGUUUCCCUGUGUUGCGUGUACUGAAAGCUGCUUGGAACUCUGUUUUGGAAGAAUGCAAUUAUCUCGAGGAACUUGGGAGCUCACCACACCUUCGGUACAUCAAUCUAAUGUAUACACGAACACGUCAACUCCCGAAAGAUAUUGGUUAUCUAAAGUUGCUGCAGGUAUUGGACAUAACUGGCACUAGGAUCGAAGAACUGCCGGAAAGUAUGGCCCAGCUACAGGGAUUGAUGUGCCUACAUGCUGACCGUAAGACAAGGAUGCCUGAUUGGCUUGGAAAGCUGACUUCCCUGCAGGAGCUGUGGAUUUGGCCUGCUGCGGAGAAGUAUGCACGCUUUGUGGAAGAGCUGCGCAAGCUGAGGGCGUUGAGGGUGCUGGUAACAUGGAAUGCUCCGCCUGCUGAUGAAAGCGUGGAGACAGACUUGCUGGAGGCUUUACGCAGCCUGCACAAGAUCAUGGUUAUAGAUAUUGGUCUCCGCAGUACAUUUCCAAAGGGGAGUGUGAGAAAGACAUGCAAAGAAGGCUUCGUCCUCUCACUACAUCUCCGUCGCCUGAUUCUAGGUGGCAUCCAGUUCUCAAGGCUUCCGGGGUGGAUUAGUCCCUUGCGUCUUCCCAACCUCUGCGACCUAGAAGUGCAUGUGUAUGGUGUGGAACAGCAGGAUAUGGAUAUCAUUGGAGAUUUCAAAUAUCUGGAUAAUCUGCUCCUUUUCAUGGUGAGCAAGAAAACUCGAGACAAGGAAAUUUUGACCUGUGGUAGUGGUGCAUUCCAGAAUCUGAGGCGAUACCAUAUUAACCGACAGGUCAUGUUUCUGCAUGGAUCUAUGCCAAGGCUUGAAGAUGUUCGUUUGCAAAUCCGUGUGUGCGAAGUGAAACGUGUCAGCCCUGAUUUCGACUUCGACUUGGGCUUGCUUAACCUCCCUGCUAUUCAGCAAGUCAAGGUACAUAUUGGCUGUGCAUUCUCCCGUGGUGUGGACGUGGAGGAAGCGGAGGCUGCUUUGAGGCAGGCAGUCCACAUGCAUCCAAACAGUCCCACAUUUGAAAUAUGUAGGGAUCUGGAAGAGGUAUCAGAAUUUUAAUCUAAUAAGGCCUUCCAUUUUCAUAGAUUUCAUUUUGGUCUGAUCAGUCUUUGUGUGCAUACCCAUAUUCCUCUAGAAAAUGAUUAUCUUCUUUAUGUGGUUUUCUUCUUCCUUCUUUACUGCAGUUCAUGUUGUUGAUGCCUGAAGAAUAUAAAGAGGUACAACGUUAUCUCCAUGAACUCUUUCUUCUCAGUGUACAUUUUUUUGAGUCAUUCUCAUGGUGUGCAUAGUCUGGAAUGGCACAUCGGAGCAAGAUUCGUUUCCCUCUUGAUACGCUACUCCGCCUUGUGAGAAAGGCUGAAAGCGUAUGCUCUUAGCAGGGACGCAUGCAUGUUUAUAUAGGCGGCAUAAGCCGAAGAGAUAUACAUGAGGAGAGGUUUAAGAUCAAUCUAUCUUAUCUAUAGUUUAAACACAAGGAGAUAGAAAGAGAUCCUAACCUACACGUGUUAUACAAGUCACGUAUAAUACAAGAGUUAUUUCGUCUAACAUCCCCCCUCAAUCACAACUGCCUAAGUUGAGAUUGCGACGAAAAACACCAAGUUGCUGGGCUGUCAAUGGUUUAGUGAACCCAUCCGCCACUUGAUCACCAGUAGGAAUAAACCUGAUAUUCAACAACUUGUUGGCAACCCUUUCCCGAACAAAGUGAUAAUCAACCUCAAUGUGCUUGGUGCGAGCAUGAAAGAUAGGAUUAGCAGACAACUAAGUAGCACCCAAAUUAUCACACCAAAGAGAAGCUGCUCGAGGAUGAGGCACACCAAGUUCUGUCAACAGAGUUUGUACCCAAAUAACUUCAGCAGUAGCAUUUGCCAGUGCCUUAUACUCAGCUUCAGUACUGGAACGAGAGACAAUGGGUUGUUUGCGAGCAAUCCAAGAGACAAGAUUACUACCAAGAAAAACUGCAAAACCUCCUGUGGAGCGACGAUCAUCAGGACAACCAGCCCAGUCUGCAUCUGAAAAGGCACUAACCAGCAUAGAAUCUGUCUUACUAAUACGAAGACCAUGAUGCAUGGUUCUUUGUAGAUACCGAAUAAUGCGCUUAACCAAGGACCAAUGAACAGUGGUAGGAGCAUGUAAGAACUGGCAAACUUUGUUGACAGAAAACGAGAUAUCUGGACGAGUUAAAGUCACAUAUUGCAAGGCACCAACAAUGCUUCUAUACUUUGUGGAGUCCUCAUCACAAAGCGGCUCACCAUCAUAAAGAGAUAAUUUUUCUGCUAUUGGGAGAGGAGUGGAAACAGGUUUGCAACCUUUCAUGUUCAUACGAGUAAGGAGAUCCACCAAAUACUUGCCUUGAGAGAAAACAAUACCAUCACGAGUAGGUUUUACCUCAAUGCCCAGAAAGUAGUGGAGUGUACCAAGAUCUUUGAGGGCAAAGUCCAUCCGAAGAUCUUUUAAUAGAUCAUCAACCGCAUGAGCAGAGGAACUAGUGACAAUAAUAUCAUCAACAUAAAUAAGCAUGAAAAUUGUGACUCCAUGUCUGGAAUAGAAAAAUAAGGAGGUAUCUGCCUGUGAAGGAUGAAAUCCAAUAGACUGAAGUUUAGAGGACAAACGAGAAUACCAUGCCCCAGGUGCUUGUUUUAGGCCAUAGAUUGCUUUGUCAAGCUUGCAAACAAAUGUAGGUGAUUGUGAACUUUUAUACCCAGGUGGUUGUCUCAUAAAAACAUCCUCUUCCAGAACACCGUGUAGAAACACGUUCUUGACAUCAAGUUGUCGCAUAGACCAAUUACGAGACACAACAAUAGACAGGAUUAAACGAAUGGUUGCAGCUUUGACAACUGGGCUAAACGUAUCCUCAUAAUCAAUACCAUAACGUUGCUUAAAUCCUUUUGCAACAAGACGAGCCUUAUAUCUAUCAAUGGUACCAUCAGAGUGUCGUUUUACCUUAUAAACCCAUUUGCAGUCAAUGAUAUUUUGUCCAGGAUGCGGGGGUACCAAAUGCCAUGUGUUAUUGGACAGAAGUGCACCAAAUUCUUCAUCCAUAGCAGCUUUCCACUUAGGAUCAGCAAUAGCCUCCUUGAGAUUUUCAGGUUCACUUGUAGCACAAAAAGAGCCCCAACGAAUACAACCAUCGGUGUGAACUUUGGGUUUAAGAAUACCACUUUGAGACCUAGUAUGAGCCCGAGGAGGUGGAGGUGCUGGUUGCAUGGGUUGCAUAUUGUGCUGGACACGACGAGGCAGCGCAGAGUCAGAAGAUACCGUAUCAGGUGAGACACCAGAGGAAACAGCAGGCGAGGCGAACGUUGCAUGGGGCGCCGCCGACGUUGCAUGGGACGGAGACGUAGGAGCCUGUAGCAGGUCGCCACGUCGAAGGAGAUCUCCUGCGUCGAAGGCAGGAGACAGAGCGGGCCCGCCACUCGGGGGAGACCGCGGCCGAUCCAAGAUGCGGUUGGGGGAGCGCGCCGCUGCAGGCGAAUCUCCUGGGGGGGGGACCGCACCAAGUCCGAGGCGGGGAACAACGCGGUUGCAACCGCUGUCGGGCGCGCCGGGGUCGAGGCGGGGGACCGAGUCGCAGACGCAUCUGGUUGGCGCGCCGGGUCCGAGGUGGAUACAGGGGACCGGCCGACCGACGCGUUGGGUUGUUGCACAAAACCCGGAGAAGAUCCAGGAGCUACGGCGGCUGAUCCCGAGGCGUGGAGAGGAGGAUCGCCUGCCCCAGGUGCUGCAGUUUCUAAUUCCGAGGCAUGCAGCCCUGGAUUUUCUGUGGCCACCAGAUCUGUAGAAACAUUAGGCUGCAUAAAAUCAUGAGAGGUACCUGCGGAGUCCUGCACACUGUUAGCAGAGGUGGGUGCAUAAGUAGUAGAGAUUGCCAUGGGGUCAUUUGGUGCUGCGGAAGGUGUAAGGGGGCUAGAUAAAUUUAGGAGGGUGGGUGGAAGAAGAACAAGUUCAGCACGAAGUUGAGCGCCGGCAUUGGGAUGUAAAGAUGCAAAGGGAAAUAUAUGUUCAUCAAAAAUAACAUCCCGAGACACAUAGACCCGCCCGGUGGAGACAUCAAGGCAUUUAUAUCCUUUGUGUAGAUCACUGUAACCAAUGAACACACAUUGUUUUGAGCGGUACUCAAGUUUAUGUUUGUUGAAAGGGCGAAGAUUAGGCCAGGCAGCACAACCAAAUAUACGAAGAAAGGUGUAGUUAGGUGUGAGACCAAAAAGACGUUCCAAAGGAGUUUGGUUGUGAAUAACACGGCUAGGAACACGAUUAAUAAGGUAAACUGCCGUAGAGAAGGCCUCAUCCCAGAAUUUGAGAGGCAUGGAAGCAUGGGCGAGGAGGGAAAGACCAACCUCGACAAUAUGGCGAUGCUUACGUUCGGCAGAACCAUUUUGUUGGUGAGCAUGAGGGCAUGAUACAUGAUGUGUAAUGCCAAGUUUCUGAAAAAAUUGGUUUAACUUUUGACACUCACCCCCAAUCGGUUUGCAUAGCAAUAAUUUUGCGGGCAAACAAACGUUCAACAAGUGCUUGAAAGAUAUGAAAUUUUUGAAAGACAUCUGAUUUGUGUUUGAUAAAAUAAAUCCAACUAAACUUGCUGAAAUCAUCAAUGAAGCUAACAUAAUAUUUUUGUCUACCAACUGAAAGAGGGCCAGGACCCCAAACAUCAGAAUAAAUGAGCUCUAAACGAGCUUGAGACACACUAGUUGACCGAGAGUAGGGUAAUUGAUGGCUUUUAGCCAUUUGACAAGCAUCACACACAAGAUGAUGAUCUACUUUAUUUGACACUGGGAGACUGUGGUUGCGUAGAAUCUGCUGCACCACUGGGAAGGACGGAUGACCUAGGCGUCUAUGCCACCUAGAAGUAGAUGGUUUGAUGGCGCCAAGCAUGUGACGCCCAUGAGCACCUGGUUGGCCAGCAGCAAUGGGGUACAACCCAUUCUUACUCGGACCGUGAAGUAUUGUGCCCCCCGUUUCCUGAUCGUGAAUAGAAAAGAACUCAGGGUAAACAACAAGGUAGGCAUCAUUAUCUUUCGUAAGUUGGGAACCAGAGAGGAGAUUUUUGGAUUUGGGAACAUGAAGAAUGUUGUUUAGGUGUAAGGGUUUAUGUGGAGUAGGAAGCAGCGAAUGACCAACAUGUUUAAUCUCCAUACCUUGACCACUUGCAGUGUGGAUUUGCUCCGGUCCAGUAUAUCGAUCAUGCACAGCAAGCUUCUCCAACUCGCCGGUGACAUGAUCCGUACCACCGGUGUCAAGAUACCAGUUGGUAUCGACGCCGUAGGCAGCAGAGACGGUGUUUGUAGACUUGUUAUUGCCGCCGCUGCUGUUGCCGCCACCGCCGCCGUUGUUGCCGCCACCACCACCUUGACGCUUGGGAGGAGGGCUGAAGUUUUUGUCGUAGCGCUUGAAGCAGCGCCAGGCAGCGUGGCCCUGCCGCUUGCAAAUCUGGCAGGUCUCAUCCCGCCUGCCAGAAGGAGGAGGGGCAGCAGCAGUGUUGGGAAAGAAUCCGCCGCCGGCACCAUGGUAGGCAGCAGGGUUGCCACCGCCAGGACCAGAGGGGCGAGUGUCGUUGUUGUUGCGGGAGCCCCCCUUGGAGGCGAGGUUGAUGGAGAAGGAGUUGGUGUUGCUGCCGUUUAGUGCGUCGAUGCGGGCCUCCGCCGUGUUGAGCAAGGAGAAAAGCUCGGUGAGGCCGAUCUUCUGAUCAGCCUCGGGACGAGAUGAGAGGGCGGCAACGUACGGGUUGUAGUCAGAGUCCAAUCCUUGUAGGAUAUAGGACACCAACUCGUCGUCGUCAAUAGGUUUGCCUGCUGCCGCCAUCUCAUCUGCAAAUCCCUUCAUCUUGGUGAAGUAGAUGGCGACAGGAGAGUCCCCCUUCUUGGUGUUGCCGAGCUGCCCCCGGAGUUGGAUGUGGCGCGCCCUGGAGUGGGAGGCGAACAUCUGCUGGAUCGCCGUCCAGACACCGGUUGCAGAAGCCAAGGAGUGCACCUGAAGAAGAACAUCGCGAGACAGGGAGGCAAGAAGAAAAGUGAGGACCUGCUGAUCUUGCGUGUACCAGAGGACAUGGGCAGGAUUGGGAGUCGAAGAGAUCUCCUUCUUCCCUGCAACAUCAGUCUCGGUGGUCAAAACGGCGGGCGGCUCGGCCAUGGUGCCAUCAAGAUAGCCCAUGAGCCCGGUGGCGCGCACAUGUGGAAGAACUUGUGCCUUCCACACCAAAAAAUUGUCCCUAGCUAGCUUUUCGGUUAUGGUGUGACCUAGCGCAGCGAGGGAGGCAGCCAGGGUGGAGCUUCAGGAGGAAGAUGACAUGUCGAUGGAAGAGGUGGCUCUUAUACCAUGUGAGAAAGGCUGGAAGCGUAUGCUCUUAGCAGGGACGCGUGCAUGUUUAUAUAGGCGGCAUAAGCCGAAGAGAUAUACAUGAGGAGAGGUUUAAGAUCAAUCUAUCUUAUCUACAGUUUAAACACAAGGAGAUAGAAAGAGAUCCUAACCUACACGUGUUAUACAAGUCACGUAUAAUACAAGAGUUAUUUCGUCUAACAUGCCUUUCUGCAGAAAAAUGAAGUCCUCGGUCAGAUUCUUAUUCAACGUGAUCGCUUUGAAGAAAUUCAUGAAGUGAUUCAGGAGGCAAAGGAGAUGCAAGGCGCCUUGCCCGUCAACCAUCCCAACCUUCUAGAGGUACAUAUAUUACUCCCUGCUAAUCGACAACAUCAUGACAUCAUCUGUUCAUACUCAUUUAAUUUUCUUCAGACGAUGCCACUCAUGGAGCAUCUCACCAAGGAUGUGCUAGGUCCUGAUGCAAUAAAAAUUCUAAGUGAUGAUUGGAUGAGUCUUCGUGGCAUGUUAACUUCUGACGUACAUGGACUGGUUGGUACUCUUUUCCUUUUUUCAAGUCUUCCUUUGUUAUCCCUAUUAUAUUCAUCCUAGGCUAGUUAGUACUCCCACGCAUGCUUAUCAAGAUGUUAUUUUUGACGAUCAAUGAAUUUGACUAACAGUACAUAAAUCAUGUAUCUUAGUAAAUUUAUACCAUUGAAAAUUCUUUCGGGUACUAAUCCAAUGGUACAAUUUACCUGACAUAUAACCCAUGUUUUGUUGCUUCAAUUCAUUAUCAAAUUCGAAUUUUGGAAAAGGGCGUGUGCCAUCCUUUUGGAGUUGGAGGAAGUACUGAUUUUCUAGCCGUUUUCCGUGUUGCUGGAUACAGGAGGCACAGGUUGCAGCUGCUCGAGGACACAUCAAUCUACUCAACCUUGCUAUCCAGCAAUCUACGCCACUACUGGAGGAAAUCAAGGUUGCAUUGAAUCAAAGACAAACCAUUGGUAAGCACUGUUUCCGCUGUUCAUUUCCAUCUGACCACUGUUUAAAAUAUUAAUUGUCUUAAUUUGUAAUUUCUGUUUGUCCUACUCCGUAGUUUCUCCCUCCAAUCUGGACGAAUCGGAGGACAGAGUUCAAGUGCAAUGGUAAUCUCUUCGUGCUCCUCCUGGACUGGAAGCAUCGAAACGCAGGAUCAGGCUCUCCCUCUUUAGCAACGGGAGCUUAUUCUCGGUUGAUUUGUUCUGCUUUUCUAGUCCCAGUCCAGCAGCGGCACCCACUAGCUCAAGAACACGCAGAUUAAUCCGGCCAGCAAUCAGACCUACGGAAAGAGGAUGGAUUAUUUCAAAAUUAAUAAGAGUAUUGUGGUUGUAGUGGAACUACUGUUUGUUGUCUUAAUAAUAAGGAACUUGUAUGAACCUAAUGUUCCAUCUCUUAUGCUUGAUACUCUCUUGAUUUGUAAGAGUCAUGUAAUCUUCUUUUCCGACUGGUUAUGGUCUUUCCACUUUGUAUUUUAGCACUUUGCUCUUAAUUAUGGUUGUAUCCUGAAUGAGUGUGGAUUUUCAGCUCCCGGGUGCCUAGGCACCCUCUAUGAACAGUAAAAUUAAAAGAAAUAAAAAACAAAAUAAGAAAAAUUUGAAAAUUUACAGCAUCAAAGAUGAUGAAAGUUUGUAGGUGUUUGCAAGUUUUCAUGUCAAAAAACUAUUCAAGAAGCUCUACACAAGGGAAAUAUUUCAAUGCUUGAAGUUUUGAGCACUUUUUAGCUGUAAUCUGAAACUUGUUUGUACAUCUUUCUCUACAUGAUAUUUUGACAUGAAAACUUGUAGGAAACCUAUAAAGUUUGAUCAUCGUUGAUGCUGCGAAGUUUCAGAUUUUUUUGAUUUUGUUUUCUAUUUUUUUGAUUUUACUGUUUAUAUAGGGUGCCUAGGCAUAUAAGUUCAAUGGAAGAGUGCAAGUUUGUGCAUCAACUGAACACUGUGAGAACUGUAAUUCUAAGAACUGCAUACUUUUAUAUGAACUGAAUGCUCAGAGCACAUAUCUUUGACAGGAAAAACACACAGGGAAACAUAACAAAAUGAAGUACAAGCUUCCAAAGAACAUCCUCAAAUGGUUUCUCGAAUUCUCUCUUUGAGCUCUGUUUUCUGUUGGCUGAUUCACCUUAUGUGUCUGUGCUACUGAUAUAAUGUAUUAUGGGACUAUGGGAAACAGAAUUCAUACGCAAAACUGCAGUAUGACAUGUCAUGACACAACCAGACCAAUCAUACCAACCAAUAGGCUUUCUUUGCCGAAGUUUCCUCCUGGGGUCCUCAAAUCAUUGGAUUCAUAGGCAUAGGCAUAGAGGGACUGAUAGGGCAAAUAAGCCACGGCUGGCGAGAGGCGUUCGGGCGCCGGAGUGUUGCGUCGCGGGUGCGCGUGCGUGCGCGNAGAGCCCAGCCGGGCGGACUAGGGCGUGUGUGUGUAUGUCUUAGGGGGUGCGUGCGUGCGUGUGUUUGGUUAGCAGCCGCAAUCAACGUGGAGGGCGCGUCAGAGCGUCAGGUUCGGCCAUGCGGGCGCGUGCGUGCGCGCCGGGCGCACGAGCUGGGAGCGUGGUGCGUGGGAUCGUGGGAGGCUCGCGGCGUGUCUGUGCGCGCGUAUAAGAGCUCCUAGUCUCUCCUGUGUAUCGCUGCGCCGAGUUGGAGUUCGUGCUCCGGGAGAAAUACAGGAAAGCCGUACGCACGGCGAAGGUGUUUGUGUGCCGGGAAAAAUUAUGUGUUCAUCAAUUUCUCCUCAAGCGUGUCUCCGGUGAUCGCCGGCGACUAGUAGUUCCAUUUUCGCGCUUACAAUUGGUAUCAGAGCCUUCGGUUCGGGAGCUCGCCGACGGCAAUGGCGAUCGUGCCACACGGCGGAGGCGCGGCCGGAUCGGUGUCGAUGGCGAUGCCGAUGCUCACGUCGGACAACUACACGGUGUGGGCCAUCAAGGCGCAAGCGAUCCUCGACGUCCACAUCGUGUGGGAGGCGGUGGCGUCGGGCGACACGGUGGUGAACACCAGGAAGGACAAGGCGGCGCGCGCGAUGCUCCUGGGAGCGCUGUCGGAGGACGUUCUGCUGCAGGUGGCGACGAAGCUCACCGCCAAGGAGGUAUAGGACUCCUUGAAGGUGAGGUUCGUCGGCGCCGAUCGUGUCCGCGCGGCGAGGUUGGCGACACUGCGCGGGGACUUCGACCGCCUGAAGAUGGCGGACGAGGAGGCGCUGGACGCGUACGCCGGGAGGCUGGCAGGGAUGAUGGCGUGGUUCGCGAGCCUAGGGGAGACGCUAGACGACGAGGUGCUGGUGAAGAAGCUGCUGGACACCGUCCCGGAUCGGUUGUUCCCCGUCGUCGCCGGCAUCGAGCAGUUCUGCGACACGGCGACCAUGGCGUUCGACGAGGCACUCGGGCGGCUGCGUGGGUUUGAAGAGCGGGUUCAGCGUCGUGGACAAGACGGCGGCGAGCGUGGCGGCGAAAAGCUGCUGUUGACGGCGGCACAGUGGGCAGCACGGGAGCAUCGACACGGCGGCGCUCGGGACGACGACGACCACCACAGGAGCGAGGCGUUGGGCAGCGGAAGAGGACGGCGAGGUCGCUGCUACAACUACGGCCACAGGGGGCAUUUCAAGCGCGACUGCACCCGGCUGAAGGAGGCAGCGGCGGCGGAGCAGGCACUGCUGGCGAGCGCCAGUGACGACCUUGACGGUCCUGCACUCAUUUGAGCCACGGCCUAGGGGGUGAAUGAUACGGCAAAUAAGCCACGGCUGGCGAGAGGCGUUCGGGCGCCGGAGUGUUGUGUCGCGGGUGCGCGUGCGUGCGUGCGCCGGGGGGCGUGAUAGAGCCCAGCCGGGCGGACUAGGGCGUGUGUGUACGUCUUAGGGGGUGCGUGCGUGUGUGUGUUUGGUUAGCAACCGCGAUCAGCGCGGAGGGGUGACCGCGUCGGAGCGCCAGGAUCAGCCGUGCGGACGCGUGCGGGAGCGCCGGGCGCACGAGCUGGAAGCGUGAUGCGUGGGGAUCGUGGGAGGCUCGCGGCGUGUCUGCGCGCGUGUAAGAGCUCCCGGUCUCUCCUGUGUAUCGCUGCGCCGAGUUGAAGUUCGUGCUCCGGAAGAAAUACAGGAAAGCCGUACGCGCAGCGAAGAUGUUUGUGUGCCGGGAAAAAUUCUGUGUUCAUUCAUUUCUCCUCCGAGCGUGUUCCGGUGUGAUCGCCGGCGACUAGGAGUUCCAUUUUCGCGCUUACAGGGACCAAAGCGUUCAAACAGACUAGCGGUUAAGUCAUUGCUGCACAAACACCAGCAGCAAUGCAGUCUUGGUGAGAGAGUCAUGUCAUGCAGUCGUCCUUCUUUUGACCGGCUUAUGUUGGGAAGCAUCACUGUCCGUGUAGAUGGCAGGUGAUACAAAACCUUUUUGGCAUCAGCAUUCACAAAUACAUACUCCCUCCGUUUUUAAAUAUAGGACAUUUUAGAGAUUGCACUAUGAACUACAUACAGAUGUACAUAGACAUAUUUUAGAGUAUAGAUUCACUCAUUUUGGUUCGUAUGUAGUCUUUUAAUAAAAUCUUUAAAAUGUCUUAUAUUUUGGAACGGAGGGAGUACUCGGUAGUUAGUACAGCCUGGGAAAUUUAUUGAUGGGGGAUUGUACACAUGAACGGUAACAUCCAAUCUGACAAAAUAUACUUCAUGGUUAUUCACAACCCUGCAGAUCACCCCUGAAUAUAUAUAUUUCCUAAACACUGGUAGCCACGGCACAAAUGUCCUGGUUACGGCACUAGGGCAAUUUUGACACCUAACGUGACGGUCUGCUCGUCGAGCUCGUAAAAAGCAUCGAUGAGGUGCAUCCGGAGAGAGGCAGACCCUUUUAGCCGACUCCAUCCUAAUCUCUCCAGCGAGUCCAAAGAUGGCAAGGGCACACGCUGCUGCUGCCAGAGCAUCGGAAGGAUCCGCCCAAACAAAAGCCGCUAUAAGAGCUGUGACGGCAUAUCAAGUUGCUGUGAUCUUGUGCAUCAUGGCCACGCCAUUGCUCGCACUGACCACCUGCUCGCCAUCCGCGAUAAAAUCAACUGCUCCAGAUACUGCGAUGACGGCGCCGCUGGACCAUGCCAAUGCUUUCACGGCUUGCAGGGUCUCCCCAGAGUCAUGUGAAAUGUUCACGCCCUGCAGUUGGCCAGAAGUAUCGGUGUCAUUAGAGGCAAGAUGGACUAUAAGUAUACUGUAAGCAGGCAUAGGGUUGGUAUGCACGUUGCUCAUCUUCAAAUAAGAGGGAGAUAAGGCAAUCAUGCAAUCGUCCUGGACUCCAUGCAAAAAAAAUUACCAACGCAAAGGACGUUUAACCAGCAGUCCAGAAUUUCUUCAGAGAUAUGAUCAUGACUGAAGUGUACUGCCCUGAUAAAUUGUUUUCAAUUUUCCUUCUUAAUGGAACUGGUAUAGUCCCUAACAAGAAGCCGCACUGAGCAUGAAAUCCAUCCCUUGUCCGGAUGGGUUCAAUCGGCUUGCCAUCGCGCGCGAUUGCUGUGAUCUCAAACCUUUCAUCCGAGCGUAACUUUUUCUUCGGGCCUCGUUUCUUUACCGAAGUUGAGGUCGAUCCGGAGGGCUAGAGAAAAAAGAAGAAAUACGAGAGUUAAUUAAUAUGUGUACAUAUAAAAACAAUAAAUGCAUCAAUCAACUAGUCAGCACGGGCUUAACUAAUAUAUAUAUACCUGGCCGGACUCGGUUCGGUCAACGGAGCCGUCAUGAACGCCCUCUUCUUCAACCGGUCCUUCCAGAUCAUCAUGAACGCCCUGUUCUUCACCCGGUCCUUUCAGAUCAUCAUGAACAUAGCCCUCUUCUUCACCCGGUCCUUCCAGAUCAUCAUGAACAUAGCCCUCUUCUUCACCCGGUCCUUCCAGACCAUCGGUGUCUCUGAGAAACGACACAAUGACAUCACUUCCUUGUGCGAUUAUCUCCCCCAACAUCGCUUCUUCCUCUUCGUCUCGGGAGUGAUCCAUAGUUUCUGCAAAUAUUUACAACAUAUCAAUUAUUAUUCAAACAUGGUACAGAUGGAUAUAUAUUAGUGGCAAACGUAGAACUAGCUAGCUAAUCACAAUAAGGAAUCAUGUUAGUGGCCUCGACGCUGCUUCUCUAGGGUUUGGGGUGGCCUAGACAACGCUUCAAGGGUUUGGGGUGGCCUCGACAUAACGCUUCAAGGGUUUGGGGUGGCCUCGACGACAACGCUCUUUUAACUUGGUAAAUUUGGGUGGUCUCGAGAGAGUUUGUCGGGUAAGGGCGCGGCGGGAGGGGGUAGGAGACCAACAUCGUUUUCUCUAGGGUUUGGGUGUCCUCGAGAGUUUUGGUCGAGCGAGAGGGCCGAGGGAGGGUGCUUCCGUGAUAUAAGUUAUCACGGUCGAGAGUGGGUAUAUAUAUCGACCGCCCCUCAUGUUAAAGUUAUCCGGGAGGGGGUUAUAUUGACAACGACGCGACAUACAUAUACAUGGGAAAAUAAUGUUAUCGGGGAGGGGGUAUAUCGGUACCCCCCCUCGUGUUGAAGUUCGAUCGGGAGGGAGUAUAUCAACAACAACAUACUUGAUAAAAAAUAGAAAGACAAAAGAAGAAAUAAAAAGAGGAGAAGAAGAAAGGAAUAGAAGAGAAGCAAUCGAAGAAAAAAAAGAAAAACAAAGGAGAAGAAGAAAGGAAUAGAGGAGCUUCUCCUCUUCUUUUUCUUCUUUUUUCCUCUUCUUAUUUAUUUCUCCUCUUCUUCCUCUCCUCUUCUUCUCCUUUCUUCCUCUUCUUAUUUUCCUUUUUCUCCUCUCAUUCUUUUUCUUCUUCUUCGUUAUCUUCCUAGCUAUAUAUAAUACUUUUCUAAAAAUGUAACUUUUGCAUAUAUAAAACCUUUUCUUCUUCUUCCUUCUUCCUUCUCUUCCUUCUUUUCCUAAAUAUAUAAAACUUUUCUAAAAAUGAAACUAACCUAAAAUGUAUUAAAUCAGAAAACAUAUAUAGAUAAAACUAACCUAAAAUGUACCCAAAUGUACUAAAAAUCUAACUUUUAUAUGCACAGAGAACAUACAUAUAUACAUAUUUAUAAAAAUACAAAAAACAAAUCAUCAUUUAUAUGAACAAAGGAGAGGACAGGGUGGGCGGCGCCGGCCUGACCAAGGAGAGGCACGGCGCCGGCGUCGGUGUAGAGGGCGGCGACGGCGGCAUGGUCGGGGCAGGGGCGACGGCGAUCGACGGGGCAAAGGGCGGCGACGGCGUCGACGGGGCAGGUAGGGGCGCGGUAGAGGCACGGCGAGGGCGCGCCGCGUGGUCGGGGGGCAGGGGCGAUGACGGCGUGGUCGGGCCGGGCAACGGCGGCGUGGUCGGGGCAGGGGCGACGACGGCGAGCUCGGCAGCCUGGCGGCGUCGUCGGAGGAAUUGAAGAAACUAACGAAAUUUUCACAACCGCUGGCUUAUAUAGCAAAGCCAUUGAUACCGGUUCGUGGCACCAAUCGGUACCAAUGCCCACCCUUUAGUCCCGGUUGGUGCUACCAACCGCGGCGGCCUUUGGCCCCGGUUGGUGGCACCAACUCGGACUAAAGGGUGGGCAUCGGUACCGGUUGGUGCCACGAACUGGUACCAAAGGCCCCUGUGCUGCCCGCGUCGCGACCAAAGUUUAGUCCCACCUCGCUAGUUGAGAGGGGCGCACAGUGGUUUAUAAGCCCCACUGCCGCACCCCUCUCGAGCUCCUCUCCACUACAGGCUUACGGAUCUACUUGCUAAUGCUUUGCCUGAUGGCCUUCUGGGCCUACUGCGGGCCUGAAUCCUGGCCCAUGGAUGGGUUUCUAGUCGUAUUCAGGCCGUGGUAACCCAGUUGGUGGCAAUUUUUUAUUUUUUCCGAGUUGUUUUUGUUUUGUUUUUUGCUUUNCCUCAGGUUCUUCUUUGAUCAUAGAUGGAUCGUAUAUCGUUUUCCUAUGACGCCGGCGACAGAAUCUCAUAACUUCUCUCCAUUGCCAAUCUAUGGAUCGUACUGAGAAGUUGAGUAAGAGCUUAGAUGUGGCUGCGGAGGCAUAAAAAACAAGAUGAUCAAAAGGAUUGGUAAGUGUAAGAUGCAAACAGUGCUGGCCUAUAUUAGCAUGCAACUUUUUAUUGGUUCUUACUAUUUAGUUGUUUCCUGUUAGACAUUGUAACAUUAGGCGUGUGUGUUUGAUCUGAUGGCAGUAUUGAUCGCUUUAAAGCACGGUUGGUUGCAAAGGGUUUUAAGCAGUGUUAUGUCCUUGAUUAUGAGGACACCUUUAGCCCUGUUGUCAAAGCUGCCACAAUCAGUUUAAUUUUGUCUAUAGCUGUCUCUAGAGGAUGGUGCAUGCGACAGUUGGACGUCAAGAACGACGUUCUUACAUGGUGUUCUGGAAGAGGAUGUGUUCAUGAAACAACCUCCUGGGUAUGUGGAUCCACAGUCACCUCAUCUUCACUAGUGGGAACGGGGCCUUUAGCCCGGCCCGUAAGGGGCUUUAGUCCGGUUCACCAACCGCUGGCUUAUAUAGCAAAGCCAUUGAUACCGGUUCGUGGCACCAAUCGGUACCAAUGCCCACCCUUUAGUCCCGGUUGGUGCUACCAACCGCGGCGGCCUUUGGCCCCGGUUGGUGGCACCAACUCGGACUAAAGGGUGGGCAUCGGUACCGGUUGGUGCCACGAACUGGUACCAAAGGCCCCUGUGCUGCCCGCGUCGCGACCAAAGUUUAGUCCCACCUCGCUAGUUGAGAGGGGCGCACAGUGGUUUAUAAGCCCCACUGCCGCACCCCUCUCGAGCUCCUCUCCACUACAGGCUUACGGAUCUACUUGCUAAUGCUUUGCCUGAUGGCCUUCUGGGCCUACUGCGGGCCUGAAUCCUGGCCCAUGGAUGGGUUUCUAGUCGUAUUCAGGCCGUGGUAACCCAGUUGGUGGCUAAUUUUUUUAUUUUUUCCGAGUUUGUUUUUGUUUUGUUUUUUGCUUUAUUUAUUUUAUUUCUUUUUUGCAUUGGUACCGGUUGCCUGCCACAGCCGUGGUGCGGUUGAAUGUUUAGUCCCACCUCGCCAAGCGAAGGGCUUUCGAGCCUGUUUAUAAGCUCCGCCGCGGGUGCAACGUGGAGAGGAACAUCUAUUUUUAAUUGUUUUCCAUUAUUUUUGUUUUGUUUUUUGCUUUAUUUUUGUUUUCUUUAUUUUUUUAGUUAGUUUAUUUUUUUAAUUUUUUUUCUAAUUACUUAUUUAUUUUAUUUAGUGAUAAUUCUUUUUGCCAUUAAAAUUCUAACAAAAAAAGUUCUUUAUGAAAAUUCUUUUUGCUUUUAAUGAUUUUUAACAGAAGAUACUUUGAUAAUUUUAGUUGCAUUUACUGAUUAUUUUUUCUUUUAUUUUUUGUUUUGUUUAUUUUGUUUUGUUUCUACUUAAAUUCAAAGUGCUAGUUAGCUUAUUUUGUUUUGUUUCUACUUACAACAAAAUACUUAUUUAUUUUAUUUUAUUUUGUUUAUAAUUACUUAUUAAUUGUAUUUUAUGAUAAUUCUUUUUUCUAUUAAAGUUCUCUCAUAUAUGGUGGACACUCCCUCACCUGAUUUUUCGACCGUCGAUGAUGGCCGCUAUUCCUUCUUCCCCUAAUGCAUCUUUAGUCCCGGAAACUCGUCUGUUACAAAGGGAUUUUAUUUUUUUGAACUUAUUUGAACUCCAUAGUUUUUCUGUAUUCAAAAGGCACCAUUCAAAGCCACAUCAUCAAUUUACAACCCUUUCUGACUUCAUUUGUUAUUUUUCAUGCAUUUACUGAUUAUUUAUGAGCUAUAAGACCAUGAAAUUGAAAAGCAUUUGAAAUGAACUCUGAAAAGGUUUCAAGUUGGCAUGAUAUCAUCAUUUCACCCACAUAGCAUGUGCGAGAAACUUGACAGGGUUACGGCAAAAACUGGAUGCACUUCGUGUACAAAACGGACAAUCUCUUUCGAAGUAUAUAUCAGGGUUUCAUACGGAAACUCGUCUGUUAUAAAGGGAUUUCAUUUUCUUGAACUUAUUUGAACUCCAUAGUUUUUUCGUGUUCAAAAUGCACCAUUCAAAGCUACAUCAUCAAUUUACAACCCUUUCUGACUUCAUUUGUUAUUUUUCAUGUAUUUACCGAUUAUUAUGAGCUAUAAGACCAUGAAAUUGGAAAGCAUUUCAAAUGAACUCUGAAAAGGUUCCAAGUUGGCAUGGCAUCAUCAUUUCACCCACAUAGCAUGUGCGAGAAAGUUGAGAGGGUUACGGCAAAAACUGGAUGCACUUCGUGUACAAAACGGACAAUAUCUUUCAAAGUAUGAGGGUUUCAUAUGGAAACUCGUCUGUUACAAAGGGAUUUCAUUUUUUUGAACUUAUUUGAACUCCAUAGUUUUUAUGUGUUCAAAAUGCACCAUUCAAAGCCACAUCAUCAAUUUACAACCCUUUCUAACUUCAUUUGUUAUUUUUCAUGCAUUUACUGAUUAUUUUGAGCUAUAAGACCAUGAAAUUGAAAAGCAUUUGAAAUAAACUCUAAAAAGGUUAAAAGUUGGCAUGGUAUCAUCAUUUUAUCCACAUAGCAUGUGCGAGAAAGUUGAGAGGGUUACGGCAAAAACUGAAUGCACUUCGUGUACAAAACGGACAAUCUCUUUCGAAGUAUCAGGGUUUCAUACGGAAACUCGUCUCUUACAAAGGGAUUUCAUUUUUUUGUACUUAUUUGAAAUCCAUAGUUUUUCUGUGUUCAAAAUGCACCAUUCAAAGCCACAUCAUCAAUUUACAAUCCUUUCUGACUUCAUUUGUUAUUUUUCAUGCAUUUUACUGAUUAUUUUGAGCUAUAAAACCAUGAAAUUGAAAAGCAUUUGAAAUGAACUCUGAAAAGGUUCCAAGUUGGCAUGGUAUCAUCAUUUCACCCACAUAGGAUGUGCGAGAAAGUUGAGAGGGUUACGACAAAAACUCGAUGCACUUCGUGUAUAAAACUGGAUACUACUGACAUUGUUGGUGACGAAUAGGGAGGGGCUACCAGGGGAUUGAGGUUGGACCAGGAGCCGCACUAUGGGGAUCCAAACCUCGCAGCUUCGGCAGAGAAAUCAGAGGGAGCUGAGGGGGAUUGCAAGCUCCACGGUGCAAUUCGAUGCGUCGGAAGCAAGGCGAGCUCGGUGGUGUUGUGCGGCGGAUGCAUUGGAGGUAGGCGAAGGAGAAUUAGGGCGGCACACGCGGAUGGAUCGCUCACCCGUGAUGUGAGCAGGGACGAGCAACGAGACGUGCGAUAUUUUCGGGAUAAAGAUACAGUCAUAGUUAAGAGGAGCGUGCGUCUUUGCGUGUUAAUCGGGUUGAUGGGACCGAAAUUUUUAGCGAGAUGUUGGCUAUCGGAUCUUGCAACAAUCAACAACAAUCGACCAGUCUGAGCUUUGCUUUUUAUCGGACCUAUGAUAGGGAGGGUUUCCCUAUCAUAUUUUGCAUAGUUGAAGAAGAGAGAAGAAAAGCGGCCUGUAGCACAUGCUUCAACACACUUUUGAGAGAUAUAGAAGAGUCAUAUAUUAAUAUAAGUAUACUAGUAUGACUAACUGUUGUUCAGCUAUUAUGUUGGCUAUAUAAAAUUGUCAUGUUACAUAUAGCCAAUGUUUUUUAAGCCACAAAAAGUGUUAGCUAUAUGUGACGUGAUAACUUUAUAAAACCGACUGUUGGCUACACUAUUAAACAUGCUUUUAGAGAAGUAUAAUAAGAUAAGGUAAGUGGGUUAUAAGAAUUUAAAUAAUAUAUAUAUACAUAUAUAUGCUUGCUGAGUCGAAGAAAAGAUAAGAGAAGCAUAAUCUAGAUUAACAUUCCUUUGUAGCACGUGCUCCUAUAAACUUUGAGUAUGAGAUGGAUCAUAGUAGAACAUAUUUGUAACUAAUUAUUAUACAUGAUUACUAUAGAAUGAACUAUAAAUAAUAUGUCAACAACAUAUAGCAUUCUAGCCGACUAAACUGUGUCAACUCGGUCUUUCAACGAUGCUCAUUGGGGUAAGGUGUGCAUACGUUCAUUAAAAGAGAUGAGUCUAGGUGCAUGUAUAUAUGAGCAUCUGUGUGUCUGGACUAUUAAAUAAUCACAGGGCAAACAACCAGGUUACGACAUAUCCAACGCAAACCUUCAAACCGCCCACCUGUAACCAUCCGUACAACGCGAUCCGGACAUGUUGUACCAUCCAACGUGAGCAUGUAUCGAUGCACCGAGUGGGCCAGACACACUCUUGCCCACAAAACAAAGACAAACUAGGGGGCUUUGCCAUCGUCCGGACAACAGCCAUAAUCGCCACUCACUAACCUGGACUACCAAAAAACACCUUCAUAGCCCGCGCGCUCGCCACUCGAAACAGUUGGCGCCCCUUCAGAGCAUCAGUGACGCAUUCAUGCCCGUCCAGAGCGGUCAUGUACUCUCACUGAUGCCAGCAUUGAAGCGACGCGUCAACCGAGAGAGCGUCGCAUGUGCCGCUUCAUGGUGCUUGUGAAUGAUCCAUGUUCAAACGAGACCUCGUCGGUUCAUCGUGCCUACAUUAAUGAUAUGCAGUUGCCGAGGAACCUACUCCAGCUCCACCCUUCCGUCCGUAUGUUGCGGACCAUUAACCGAAUCGCCGCCGACAAUCUCCUUCUCGCCCACUAUAUAAACUCUAGCCCACGCCAUAACCGCACUGAUCCUCCUCCGAAGCCUUUCUCCUCUACGCAUGAUGCCCUCCAUAGCCUCCUCGCAUUCCAAAGCCCUUUGGGACACCCUCUUCUUGGAGCGAAAUAAGGAUAUGACCACCAUUGUUGUCGACUGGCAGGCCGGCCAACAGAUGGAGGACAACGACGCACCAAUGGAGGAUGAGCUGGCACCACCCUUCUUGCCGGUGUGUGCGGCUCUCACCAUCGAUGAAUCCCGCGCACACUACAUGGACAUGUUCCGGGAACAGGAGGAGGCCAAGUUUCGGCAGGCACAUGCCGACCGGGCCUACAACCUUCGCCUGCUCAAGGAGCACCAACGCGCGGAGUAGCUGCUGGCCAGCAGCGCAUAAAUCAUGUUGGACGUGGACGUGCCCGAGUAGGAGACGUUGCUCGAGUGCUACCACUUCGCCCACGAGGUCUGCCACGGCCGCUAGCAGUACCGCCAACGUAAUGCCGAGUUAAAAGCCUCCUCAAGGAGUUUGACGAGGUGGCGGAUGAGAUGUUGGGCAAGAGUGACGACGAAGAGGUCAUUUUUAGGUCCGCCGGUCGCGCCCUGCCGCCAUGACUAGGAAACCGACGCAUUCGCUGGAGUCACCGGCAUCAAGGAAGAUUAGUGCAUGGUAGGUCGACACCGCUCGGGUCCCAAGAAGGCCAACACUUCCUCCCCACCCGCCGAGGCCAAGCUUGGUGGAUUGAACAUCGCCGGCCGAUUAGAAACUUGGCGGCGACGUGGACACGGAAAGCUUAACUUCGCGUUGCUCGAGGGAUGGAGCUUACGGAAGCGGAGCUGGAGAGCGCUAAGGCGGAACUGAAGAAGGCAAAGUUUCUGCUCUCGGGGCUCAUGGCCCGACAUAAGGAGCGGGCACCAACAAUCAUUUAGUUUAGGUUUAGAGUAGUGUUUGGUCCGGUUUAUAUGCAAAAUGUAAUGAAUUUCAUGCGAUCUUAAUGAAAUCCAUCUUGUUUUCAUGAAUUUUGUCCGAUUAGUUCAAACACUGUUUGAAAUGUAUACAUGUAGCAUUGGUUGACCAUCUUCGACAUCGAUCCGCAAACUGAUCCCUGUACGCGGACGAUUGCCAGAACAAUUUUAUGGGUCAGGGUUGGAGAUACCCUUAGCCCUUGCUAUGAUGGAUAGCCACGUGCUUGUGCGGCAAUAACUGGUAUAGAUUCCAAGCAGGGGACUACUCCUUCCAUUUCCUUAUACAAGGCCACUAUAAAAAAUAUAUUUUACAUCUAUACAAAGUCAUCAACAAUAAUAAAGGUAAAACUAAUGAUGUUUUCUCGUACAAGCAACCUAUUUAAUACUCCCUAGGUACCCAAAUAUAAGACCUUUUAGAGAUUACACUAGAAGACUACAUACGAAGCAAAAUGAGUGAAUUUACACUCUAAAAUAUAGUUCAUAGUACAAUCUGUAAAAUGUCUUAUAUUUAAGAAUAGAGGGAGUACUUGCAUGCAUGUAGUAAUGACGCCUAGCUAUUUCCUUUUCAUUCCUUUUUGCAUGCACAUGACAUACUACUCCCUCCAUCCCAAAAUUAUUGUCUUACGUUUACAAUCUGUAAAAGGUCUUAUAUUUAAGGAUAGAUGGAGUACUUGCAUGCAUGUAGUAAUGACGCCUAGCUAUUUCCUUUUCAUUCCUUUUUUGCAUGCACAUGACAUACUACUCCCUCCAUCUCAAAAUUAUUGUCUUACGUUUACAAUCUGUAAAAGGUCUUAUAUUUAAGAAUAGAGGGAGUACUUGCAUGCAUGUAGUAAUGAGGCCUAGCUAUUUCCUUUUCAUUCCUUUUUUGCAUGCACAUGACAUACUACUCCCUCCAUCCCAAAAUUAUUGUCUUACGUUUGUCUAGAAAUGGAUGUAUUUAGAUUUUAAAGUAUGACUAGAUACAUUCAUAUCUAGACAAAUUUAGGACAAAAUGAUCCCGGCUAACCAAAAGAAAAAAUGAUUUGCAAAGGGAUCAUUAAAUUUUACCUGGAUAUCUAUAAUAUGAGUUUGGGGCCUUGUAUAAGGAAUGGAGUGAGUAGCGUUCUUAUCAAGAUGCGAUCUACCCCACUACUAGAUGAUACCCAAUUAAACUUCUAAAUGGACCGGCUAAGGCUGCACGUAAUGAAAGUAUCAUAGAUAGUAUCAUGCAUGCCAUCGAGGCAAUCUCAAGGAGGUGGCAUAGAAUUAAAUGAAGAAAAAGAGGGUUGAGUAUCAUAUCAUGAUACUGUAUCAUAUUAAAUGAUGUGCUAUUUAGUGUCUUGCAUGGCAAUACAUGACAUGAACUACUCUAUGAUACUAACAUAUGAUACUAUGCAUUACCUAUGUGGUAUCAUAGAGUAGUAUCAUAUGCAUGAUAUUAGUAUAUGAUACAAUCCACUACAACCAGCCUAACACCUACUAUUGUAUUUUCUAGUCCCACUUGUCAUUUACCAGUUGUUUAUUCGCCCCUAAUCGAUGAAAGUGCGUUCUUAUGCAUCACUGGCACGGGUUCCUUGCUUAUUGUAUUCAGCGAUAAUUAAAGAUGCAUUUUCUUUUGCCGGCAGAUGCUUGCCUUUUCUUUUCUUUCUUGAAUUUAGCAAUACUGAAGAUCCUUUGUUGGAAGAGCCAUUUUAAAGGGUGGGGUUUCUUGUUUCUCGUUGCUUCAAAAUUAAUCUCACUGUGUGUAAACGACUCCUUUUGGGCCCAAUAAAUCCUUGACUGAGCCCUUUCUUUUCGUUUGAUGAUAUUUUCUUUCUUUUUUGUUUAUCUUGCAAUGGUUAUAGUGAUUCUUUUCCAUGGGUGACGAUGGUAGCAAAUCUUGCUUCCGCUUUUGCAACUCUGCAUGCGGUCGUCACAAUGGCAAUGGAAGCGGUGGAGGUCGUCUUCAUUCUAUACUACUUGAGAGCGAUCUAACUAGGGAGGUUUUGUCGUGUGGUGUCCAUCCACCUCCUUCGGUGAUGGUGGUCGGUGGCACUCGUGUCAUCUCUCCGUGCGCUUCGUCCACCCGUGGUGCGCCCACAAUAAAACUGGUGGAUGUGGCCAAGAGUGAUCGUCUCUUGCUCACGCGAAUGGGGGUCAUGGGUUCCCCAUCGAUAGUCCCCGGCACUUCACUAUAGGUGUUGGAGCGUCAUCUGGCAGAUCCCUUGGUAUGCUAUCUAAUGGAGUCGAUUUCUGGGUAAGGAGUCCUGAGCUAGUAGUCUAAUGGGAUGGUAAUAAGGACACGAGGUUUACCCAAGAGAUAAAACCCUAUGUUCUACUUGUGUUGUACUGAUUUCGAUGGAGUACAAAGUACAUCUUGUUCUACCACGAUAUCAUCAUAUGUUAUCUAUGAUCUCUACUCAUCACUAUAAGUCUAGAGUUACAUGAUAAACUACGUCCGCAUCGUCGACGUGAUAACCAUGUCCACCAUCAUCGAAGCCGACCGACUCGCUGCCUAGAAACCUGUUGGACCGACUCGCUGAUGCCUCGUCCUGGCCGACUGGAUGACCUAACACGUUUAUCCGGCUAAUGUUUAUUUAUGUAUAUCCAGUACUAACUAUAUACAUAGAUAUUUCUACUAUCUAUAUCUUCUACACUAAUUAAAGACUCUCUAAAAAUUUCCAUGUUAAUUAGUAAAUAUGAGCCGUUAAUCUCGGUGGGACCGAAUUAUAACGGUGUAGAUUAGUUAGAUUAACAUCCAUCAAGUUAUUAGCGUGCACACAUCUUAUACCAUUUUUUUAUGGUUGCCGUGAAAUAAUAUGCAUGGACACGUCUUAGGAUUUUUCAUGCAUGCAUUUUAUCUUAAUAUAUCACCUGGCAUGUGAAAUAAAAAACGCUCAUCUAGGCUGAUGUCUCACGUGUUAUCAUUCUCAACAGAUCACUGUCCCUUUGGUAAAAAAAAACAGAUCACCGUCCCUGGAAACAGAAUCUUCAUUGAUCGCUGAUCGUCGUCUAAACAAAAGGCCUAGCGAGGCUACAAAUUACUUCCUUCUUCUCCGCAGUGUUGGGUUGCCAAUAGAAGCGUGGCUAACUGAAGGAAGGAGACAUCACGGGCAUGAAUUAAGGGUGCAGCAGUAAGCUAAGGUCUGAAUUGUUGGCAGCGAGACUGCUGCGCUGCCUAGGGAUCUCGCAGGAGGAGAAGCAAUGGGACAACCAAGUCAGGCAGGGCUGCAAGGGAUAUAUGUCCAUCUAUUGCCUCAGGUUCUUCUUUGAUCAUAGAUGGAUCGUAUAUCGUUUUCCUAUGACGCCGGCGACAGAAUCUCAUAACUUCUCUCCAUUGCCAAUCUAUGGAUCGUACUGAGAAGUUGAGUAAGAGCUUAGAUGUGGCUGCGGAGGCAUAAAAAACAAGAUGAUCAAAAGGAUUGGUAAGUGUAAGAUGCAAACAGUGCUGGCCUAUAUUAGCAUGCAACUUUUUAUUGGUUCUUACUAUUUAGUUGUUUCCUGUUAGACAUUGUAACAUUAGGCGUGUGUGUUUGAUCUGAUGGCAGUAUUGAUCGCUUUAAAGCACGGUUGGUUGCAAAGGGUUUUAAGCAGUGUUAUGUCCUUGAUUAUGAGGACACCUUUAGCCCUGUUGUCAAAGCUGCCACAAUCAGUUUAAUUUUGUCUAUAGCUGUCUCUAGAGGAUGGUGCAUGCGACAGUUGGACGUCAAGAACGCGUUCUUACAUGGUGUUCUGGAAGAGGAUGUGUUCAUGAAACAACCUCCUGGGUAUGUGGAUCCACAGUCACCUCAUCUUCACUAGUGGGAACGGGGCCUUUAGCCCGGCCCGUAAGGGGCUUUAGUCCGGUUCACCAACCGGGACUAAAGGGGCGAGACUAAAGGCCUAACCUUUUCGACCCGGCCCUCUUACACGCCGGGACUAAAGGUGCUCCACGUGGGCGCCUCGUAGCGCCCCAGGGGCAGGCCCUUUAGUCCCGGUUCGUUACACGGACCGGGACUAAAGAUUUUCAGAUUUUGCUGGUUUUUGGUUUUUGGGUUUUAGGGUUUUAGGGUUUAGGGUUUAGGUGUUCGGGAGAUUAACGUGAUGCCUCGUUUGGUGUUCGGGAAUUAGUUUUCAUAUAAUUUAAAUAGAAAUAAUUAUGCAUAUAUAUAUAUAUAUAUAUAAAUAUAUAUAUAUAUAUAUAUAUAAGAUUAACUUAUCUUACAAGCGAUCAUAUAUAUACAAUUAUAUGGAGAUCUGAAUUAUCGGGACCAGAGCCCGUCUAUUCGAUUACAUGGACGAACAUCAGUAAUGGCCCUUAGCUACACUAAAUCAUCCUUUAUCUUCUAUAGCUUCCGUCCUCAGAAAUCCCGCAAGCUCCUCUGCAACAGCAAUCGCGCGUUGUUGUGGUAGGACCUUCGUCCUCAUGGUCGUGUGCUAUAUAAGAAGAGGAGAUGAAUAUGAAUAUCAAUCAUGAUAACAAAGAAUGACGGGUAAAAAUAGAGGCGUGAAUGUUCAUUGCUUACGUCGAAUCCGUGAUCCUUGAACUCAGAGGUAAACGUGCGAAUGGUCUCGCAAACAUAGUAUCCGCAUAGAUGCGUUCCCCGUGGCUGCUGGUCGCACUUUACGAGAAUAGAAUAUAUAUAAUCAAAAUAAUAAUCUAGCAUCAUAAAUGUAUUGAAAAUUAAUAGAAGUAUAUCAUACUACUACUUACCUGAGCCGCUCUAAAGGUCAGCUUCUCAGGAAAGUUACCGGGAGUCACGCACUUGAACCGCUUCCAAACCCUGGCCGACAAGGAUAAUGAUUUGCUAAGUUUUUCAUUAAUUGAUAUAUCAGAAAAUCAUCGAAAGAGACCGAUAGAGCGCAAGAAUAAUUAAAAUUACCCUUGGAGCAUGCCCUGCAGGCUUUGGAACUGUUCCAAGGGUCUCGAUAAUGGGUCGAAGGCAUCAACUCUUCCUUUAUCAAUUUGAAUGUCCAACAGAAUCCAAUGAAAGCUGCACAUGUAUAUAUAUAUAUAUGUGUGUGUGUGUGUGUCAGUAACUUAUCAAUUACACUUAUAAGUGAAUGGACACAACAGAGUAAAGACCCUCACCUGAAGUUGUAUGGAAACAGUAUGUGGUCACAGAAAUUUUGAUCUAUUAUAAACCUUAGAAGGUUUUCGUCCGUCUCCUUGGGAUAAUUAGUUAGCGUAGCUAUAUGUAUUUUAUCUGGGUCAAUAAACCCAAUAUUUAGGAUGCUCUUACUUUUACACUCCAGAAUCUUCAUUCUGCAUAAUAGAGUACAAGUUAUAUAUAGACAAUGAAUUGAAAUAACUAAACAAGUUAUAUGUAGACAACGAAUUGAAAAACUUACAGACAAUAGCAACUCAUAAGAGAUUUGUCGAGGGCGUCGCCAUUGUACAUGUAGAAGAGUUCAUCAAAGUCGAUAUGGAUUUCUUCGGUACGGCCGUAGUACUCCCGUGGGACACUCAGCACGAUCAUCGUUCUCCCAUUCUUUGAUUCACUUAAGUACCAUUUAUGCAAGUAAUGCAUAUUUGUUGGGAGAUCAUCUUUGCUGACCAAAGGCUCUCCCAUGACAAACUGUGGCUUAGGGGCUACCACAGCCUUGGGUAUCCUGUCGUCUUGGGAAGCCAGCAAAUCUUCAACCGAGAUACCACAUUCAUCCGCCAACUCCUUUGCUCUUUCAAAAGCUUGCCCCUGCACCGGAGGGGGAACAUUCUCGGUUAACACCUUGAGGGGUGGGAUCGACUGUUUGGCCUGUUGUCCAAGCUGAGGAACUUCUGAUUUUUUCUUGCUUGUAGUUGAACUUGAUUUGCUCCCACUUGCACUUGCACGUGAGCUGCUCUUUUUCACUUCCUUCUGCAAUGUGCGUGUAUAGUCAUCAGGCUUAUAGUGUAAGUCAUACUGUGAUGGAGUGGUUAUGAAGUCUUUUGCCCAUGCUAUGUGCUUCUCGGUGUAUUCCGGGCGGGGCUCGGGUUACUUCCUUUUCAUCUGCGCAUCAUGUUGUUCCUUUGCUAUCCUGGCGUUUUCCUCGGGGGUACGAUCAUAAGGUCUGAUAGGAAGAUUAGCAUGAGGUACCUUUGGGAGGGGCGACAGUUUGCGCUUUCGGGAGCUCCGUCGCUUAGAAAUCAUCGACGGAGCGUUCUUGCUGGCACGCUUCCGCUUAGUAUCAUGUGCGGGCGGCGGCGGAGACGGACGACCCAAGUCCGGCGGCGGUGAUCGAGAUAGACUCGUGUUGUGCUGGCCGACGUCAUGUGGAGGGCUUGGAGGUAAUGGAGGUGUAGGUGACCUGCGACGACUCGGAGGCGGUGUUGUCCUUGGGGCCGAGCAUGGAAGCUUGAUGUAGUUCUUGUCCCAUAGGAUGACUCCACCCAGUACUUCUCCGAGUGUCCUCUCAUCUUCGGGUCCAGCUAUGUCGAGCUCCAUAUCAUUAAACCCCGUCAUGAUUUCAUCCACCCCGACUUUUGCAAAGCCAGCUGGAAUCUCAUGACAAUGCCAACGUGCAUCAGGGCCAGAAGGUAAAUCUUGUCCGACGGCCACCUUCAUGGAUAUGUUCUUGAAUUUCUGAUGGAGUUCACAUGAUGUUGACUCCUUGAUUCCAUCCACGGGGUAGCCGGGACCGCCCUCUAUCAUUCUUCGUUCAUCGUCGGGCGGGGCCUCAGAUUCAGCCACGCUGCUUUUCCGCUUAGACGGGGCGCCGGUAAUAUCAAGUGCAGGAUCUUCCUGGCGCGGUACUCCUCUAAGCUCAUCAAUCUGCUUCUGUUGCUCGUUAAUCCUGGCAAGCAACUGGUUGAACUUGUCAUUCUCCUCAUCCUGCUGCCGCUUCUUUGCUCUCUCUCGGCUCCUGUAAGUGUCUUGGUCUCUGGCAAACCCAAGCCACCACGGGUAAGAAGGACUGAAGCCUCGCGUUCGUCCUCCAUGUUCGUCAUUGCCGAGGGCCAGUGUGAGCAAAUCUUUAUCUCUAUCUGCAGUGAACUUUCUUUGUCCCUCCUUAAUUUCUUUCACUAUCUUUUUCCAAUUCUCCCUGGGUAUCCUAAGAUCGUCAUUGCAGAUGAGGUCCCCUGUUGUUUCAUCGUAUGACCCACCAUGCGCAAGGAACCAAUUUCUUGCUCUCAAUUCCCACUCAUCACGGAGUGGUUCAGGUACGAUGCCUUUAUCUAUCAGAUCUUGCUCUUUCUUAUCCCACUUUGGGAUGGCAGUCUCAUAGCCCCCUGGCCCCAGCUUGUGGUGAUAUUUCUUCUUGUCGGCAUUUAUCUUGUUCUUUUCUGAUAAUGCCUGGGCAUCUUCUGACUCCUUGUACUCUUGAAAUGCCUUUCAGUGAUUCGCCUGCUUGGGUAGAUACCCCUCGAAUACUGGCACUUUCUGUGUCUUCUGAUAGUUUUUCCAUAGCUUCUUCUUCCAGCUACAGAAUAGUUCGGCCAUCUUCUUCAGAGUCCACUGCUUGACUUUGGCCCUCAGUUUGUCUGCGGCGUCUUCAUUCUCACAUUCUGGCAGGUUGAAAUGUGACAUGAGAUCAUUCCAAAGAUUAUCUUUGUACCUUUCGGCGACAUAGUCACUAUCGGCUGCCCCUUUGCGCUUGUUCCACUCCUGAACGCUGAUCGGGACGUGAUCCCUAACGAGAACUCCGCAUUGCUUCUUGAAUGUGUCAGCAGCAUUCUUAGGAAGCUUGGGUUCGCCCGUAGGAAAUAUCACCUCAAAUGUGUAAUGCGUCCGUGCAUCCAACUUUCUAGUCGGGCCUCGUUUCGUAGUUUUGCUCGAUGUGGAGGCCUAAGAGGGAGAAACAUUCGUCAAAUGAAUGUAUAUGUAUACAAUAUAGAACUAUCUCCAAUAUUUUUCACAUAUUACAAGUGAUUGUCGAACUUCAUAUGUAUACCUCGCGGACUUCUCCUCUUCACCGGCUUAUUCAUCAGUGGAGCUAUCACCUUCUCCGUCAUUGGACCUAUCUCCUGCCCCAUCGGCUUCAUCUUCGUGUCGCUCGACCUCCAUUCCAACGUCCUGGUUUAGAUAUGACGACGGAGAUUCAGUUGGUUCAACGUCGGGGCCGUCUUUGAUUAUAUCUUCGAGAAGUUCUUCCUCUUCGAGGUUCCUGAUAUGUGGAUCCAUAAUUCUGCAAAAAACGGAUUCUCUUAACCUUUGUACCAAAAAAGAAUUAUUCUAUGAGGAACUCCGUUCCUAAACAACUUAAGUCCAGGGUCGUGGCUCCACCCGGGACUCCUAGAUUUCUGCAUAGUAUUCAAAGUAGGAGUACUUUUCCAAUUUGAGCAUUCAAUAAGCAAAACCAAAUCGUAAAAUAAAGUAGUAUUCAAAUUAGAAUGCAUUCAAUUAUAAGCUAAUACAUCAUCACUUUUGUCCGUACAUCGUCGAAUAUUAUCACUAAUACUCCUCGAAUACUAUUAUACAUAUAGCAUCACUGAUACAUCUAGAACCGUAGCGCCCGACGGGUAUCGGCGCGGGCGGUGGACACCCAAAGAGAAGGAACCAUCACAGGAUCAUAGCUCCAGUGAGAUCCCUGAAGACCUGCCAGGUAUGCUCGAACCUGCCCUCCAACGCAACCAUGUAGCGACGGACGUGCUCGUCCUCCUCGCUCACACGGUCAUGUACGACCUCCGCGGUGUCCGGAAGCCUCGGCACCCUCACUGGCCCACGCGACCGCCACCAAACAAGGAUCGGGUCAACGACGGGCUGGCUCCUCACCAACCUACGCCCCCCGGAAGGUAGCACCUCCCAAUACCAGUCGGGCGGAGCCCAGUCCCGGACAGGGCCCCUCUGAUCAAGAAGGUGUCCUCCGCCGAGUCGACGACGAGGAUGCGGGAUAGGCAUCGUAAAAUGAACUAAAAAAAUAAACUAGUUCUAUUAAUUUUCUUGCUAAAAAUAAACUAUUAACACUUAAGCAUAUACAAUAGCAAAAUUAGACUAUUAACACUUAAGCAUAUACAGUAGCAAAAUUAAGCAAUAAUCUAAGAAACACUAUUAACACUUAAGCAUAUACAUUAUACAAUAGCAAAAUUAAAUGGCAAAAAAUAUAUUUCUUCUUCUUGUAACCCUAAACUAAUUUUUCCUCUUCUUCUAUUUCUCCUCUUCUUCUAUUUCUCCUCUUCUUCUACUUCUUCUUCUACUUCUACUUCUACUUCUCCUCUUCUUGUAGUACUUCUCCUCUUCUCUUCUUCUACUUCUCCUCUCCUCCUCUUCUAAUUUUUUCUCUUCUUCUACUUCUCCUCUUCUUCUAUUUUUCCUCUUCUUCUCCUCUCCUCCUCUUCUUAUUCUCCUUUUUCUUCUUUUCUUCUCCUCCUCUUCUUAUUUUCAUUUUUCCUAAUCUUAUUUUCUUAUUUUUGUUCAUAUUUCUUCUUCUUGUAACCCUAACCUAAUUCUAAAUAUUACUAACCCUAAUAAUCUAGCACAAACCUAAUAACAAUAGGAAUUAAAUGACAAAAAAAAUCUUUUUCUUUUUCUUCUUUUCUUCUCCUUUUUCUUCUUUUCUUUUCCUUUUUAUUCCUUUCUUCUCCUUCUUCUUCUUCUCUUCUCCUUUUUCUUAUUUUCUUCUACUGGCCGGAGUGUUGGGGAGGAGGGGGCGGGAGGCUUACCGGCCGGAGGUGUCGACGGCGCGCGGCGAGGAGGACGACGAGGAGGACGGCGCGAUGGCGAGGAGGACGGCACGACGGCGAGGAGGACGGCAGGCGGCGGCGAGCAGGACGGCGGGCAGCCUGACGGCGUCGUCGAGUUCGUCGUUGUGCCGCGCCGGGCAGGAGAACGAGAGGAAGAAGAAGAGAAAUGGACGAAUUGGGUUGGAAAUUUUCGAAGUCCCGCUUAUAUAGGUGGAUCUAUAGUUUCGAACGAGAACUCAUCUCUUACAAAGGAAUUUCAUUUUUUUGAACUUAUUUGAACUCCAUACUUUUUGUGCGUUCAAAAUGCACCAUUCAAAGGCACAUCACAAAAUUUCAACAAUUUCUGACUUCAUUUGGUAUAUUUCAUGCAUUUACUUAUUUUUUUUGAGCUAGUUGACCCUGAAAUUGAAAAGCACUACAAAUAAACUCUGAAAAUGUUAAAAGUUGGCAUGCUAUCAUCAUUUCACCCGCAUAGCAUGUGUUAAAAAGUUGAGAGGGCUACGACAAAAACUGGAUGCAGCUCGUGUACAAAACGGACAAUCUCUCUCGAAGUAGCAGCGUUUCGAACGAGAACUAAUCUCUUACAAAGGGAUUUCAUUUUUUUGAACUUAUUUGAACUCCAUACUUUUUGUGUGUUCAAAAUGCACCAUUCUAAGGCACAUCACAAAAUUUCAACAAUUUUUGACUUCAUUUGGUAUAUUUCGUGCAUUUACUUAUUUUUUUUGAGCUAGUUGACCCUGAAAUUGAAAAUCACUACAAAUGAACUCUGAAAAUGUUAAAAGUUGGAAUGCUAUCAUCAUUUCACCCACAUAGCAUGUGUUAAAAAGUUGAGAGGGCUACAACAAAAACUGGAUGCAGUUCAUGUACAAAACGGACAAUCUCUCUCGAAGUAGCAGCGUUUCGAACGAGAACUCAUCUCUUACAAAGGGAUUUCAUUUUUUUUGAACUUAUUUGAACUCCAUACUUUUUGUGUGUUUAAAAUGCACCAUUCAAAGGCACAUCACAAAAUUUCAACAAUUUCUGACUUCAUUUGGUAUAUUUCGUGCAUUUACUUAUUUUUUGUGUGCUAGUUGACCCUGAAAUUGAAAAGCACUACAAAUGAACUCUGAAAAUGUUGAAAAUUGGCAUGUUAUCAUCAUUUCACCCACAUAGCAUGUGUUAAAAAGUUGAGAGGGCUACGACAAAAACUGCAUGCAGUUCGUGUACAAAACGGACAAUCUCUCUCGAAGUAGCAGGGUUUUGAAGAAGGAGAAGCGACCCCCACAACAAAAGUGGUUCCGCGGCACGCCACGUGGUUCCGCUACACGCCACGUGGGACUAAUGGUCUUUCAUUUUUAAAUGACUGUUUUAAUCAAAAAGAGAUCUGUUACAAAAGGGAUUUCAUUUUUUGAACUUAUUUGAACUGAAGACUUUUUGUAUAUAUAUGUGGUCGAAAUGCAUGAUACCAUGAAGUUAGAAAGGGCUAAACCAUUCAAAAGUAGCACAUGAAGUUAGAAACGGCUAAACCAUUCAAAUUUGGAAACUAUAAUGGCACAAACAGGAACUAGACAUAUAUAAAUUGAUCCAAGAAGUACAUGAUACUAGUCCAAACAGUACAUAAUAAUAUCUACCAUAGAUAUAUAUACAAGUGUUCGACGUUCAGAACACUACUCGACUGAAUCAUCUGAAUGAGAAUGUCCACCUUCCUCGAGGUGACGCUGGCCAUAGUGGACGACUCGAAUCUUGCGGUACAACUCGUAUGAAACGUAUGCAUCUUUUGCUGCAUACUCAAUGUUGAUAUCAUCAAGUGGGCCCUUCUCCCAAAGUUUGUGCUGAGACUUUGGGAAACUGGUCUUCAUAUCAGCAUAUGAAUCGUCGAUCAAGGCAACUGCCAUAUGAACCAUCGAAGUCCUGUCAUGUCGAAGCCUGAAUAUCGUUUGGAGAUCAACGAGGCAACCAGCUGGUAUCUCAAUACCGAAGCUGUGCCUCAUCUUCAGCUUGUCGUUCCUUAUGUCAACGGAAGCAAAAGUGAUGCCUCUGCGAAGGAAGUCCAUGAGUUCUGGACAAUGCUUGUCACUCCUGCAACAGAAACAAAUUAAAAUGGAACAAAUAUUACAUACUGCUGCAAUAAGAAAACAUGUUUCACUACAACUAAAGAGAAAAUUAUCUUUAGGAUUCAAAUAGAACAUAUGCAAUGGAACCUAGAGAGAUCACUAUAGCUAUCCAAUGGAAACUAGAGAGAUCACUAGCUAUAUGCAAUUUUCAUGACUAUGACAUAUCAUAUUGCUAUCCAGUGGAACCUAGAGAGAUCACUAGCUAUAUUCAAUUUUCAUAACCUUGGAUCAAAGAACACCGCAUAAAAUUGUAUCACUACAACUAUGAUUUCAAUGGAACAUAUUGAACCAAUCAGAUUUUUCGGAUUUUGGAACACUAUUCCAAUCAGAUUGUGUUCCCUUCAACUAAUCAAAAUUGUUUCACUACAACUAUUUGAAGCGAACCAACUAUGAUUCCAAUGGAACAUAUUAAACACUAGUUGAUUCUAAUACGAUUUUUCAGAUUAUGGAACACUAUUCCAAUCAGAUUGUGUUCCCCUUCAACUAAUCAAAAUUGUUUCACUACAACUAUUUGAAGGGAACCAACUAUGAUUCCAAUGGAACAUAUUAAACACUAGUUGAUUCUAAUACGAUUUUUCAGAUUAUGGAACACUAUUCCAAUUAGAUUAUGCUCCCCUUCAACUAAUCAAAAUUGUUUCACUACAACUAUUUGAAGGGAACCAACUAUGAUUCCAAUGGAACAUAUGAAACACUAGUUGAUUCUAAUACGAUUUUUCAGAUUAUGGAACACUAUUCCAAUUAGAUUGUGCUCCCCUUCAACUAAUCAAAAUUGUUUCACUACAACUAUUUGAAGGGAACCAACUAUGAUUCCAAUGGAACAUAUUAAACACUAGUUGAUUCUAAUACGAUUUUUCAGAUUAUGGAACACUAUUCCAAUUAGAUUGUGCUCCCCUUCAACUAAUCAAAAUUGUUUCACUACAACUAUUUGAAGGGAACCAACUAUGAUUCCAAUGGAACAUAUUAAACACUAGUUGAUUCUAAUACGAUUUUUCAGAUUAUGGAACACUAUUUCAAUUAGAUUGUGCUCCCCUUCAACUAAUCAAAAUUGUUUCACUACAGCUAUUUGAAGGGAACCAACUAUGAUUGAAACAAAUAAACUUACAAUGUCAUUAUCUUGGAUCAAAGAAAGCCUCAAAACUUACCUCGCCCAUUGGAAGAUCAAGACAUGGCGUGCGAAGCAUAGUUGGAUGACGGCAACACCGCGUUGAUCGGCUGUGUACUCCAGAUCAAGCCCCAAGAACUUCUCAUGAUCCACUGCGUGGUCAAACCAUCGUUCCUUCAACUGUUGAAGAAAAAACGGCACCUCCCUGCUCAGGUUCGUGUACACGACACGGAGCUUGGUCGUGCCGUGUGCGAGCACCUCAUGAAAGCUAGUUGGCAUGGUGGAAGAAGAGAAGGGAAGAAGAGAGGAGAAGAACAGAGAGGGCGACGCGAGAAAGAAGAAGAAACAGAGAAAUGGCGACUGUACGCUUCGGUUCGUGCUUUUCAUCGCCAGAAACGACGCGGGAUGCAAACAGUUUGGGUCUUUAGUCCUGGGUUGAGCCACCAACCGGGACUAAAGAGGUAUACCAAACGGUUGCCACCACUACGGCAGGCCACGUGUUAGGCCUUUAGUCCCGGGUUGAGCCACCAACCGGGACUAAAGAGGUAUACCAACGGUCGCCACCACUAGGGCAGGCCACGUGUUAGUCCUUUAGUCCCGGGUUGAGCCACCAACCGGGACUAAAGGGGGAUACGAACGGUUGCCACCACCACUGCCCGCCGCGUAGCCCUUUAGUCCCGGUUUGGGACACGAACCGGGACUAAAGGCUCCUUACGGGCCGGGACUAAAGCCUCGAGGGAGGCAUUGAGAAUUGGGGCGACGUGGCCGGGCCUUUAGUCCCGGCCCAGAGGCAGGCCGGGACUAAAUGGUCCCGGCCAAAGGCCCGUUUUCCACUAGUGCUUGUUUGCAAACUUGAUAAAGCUCUUUAUGGUCUUAAACAGGCACCAAGAGCCUGGUACUCACGUCUCUCUCACAAGUUGCAGUCCCUUGGUUUUGUACCUUCUAAGUGUGAUACAUCUUUGUUUCUAUAUUCACGGGCUGGUAUCAUCAUUUUUAUGCUUAUAUAUGUGGAUGAUAUUAUUGUCACCAGUUCGCACCCUCAGGCAGUUGAAGCUCUCCUUGCUGACUUACGCACUGAUUUUGCUCUCAAGAAUCUUGGCUCCCUUCAUUAUUUCCUUGGUAUUGAGGUAACUCCUGUUGAUGGUGGCAUCCUUUUAUCUCAACAUAAGUACUUGCUUGAAUUACUGCAAAGAGUGGCUAUGCCAGGAUGCAAGCCUGUUAGCACACCCCUAUCCACCUCUGAGAAGCUGUCUUUGUUUGAUGGUCAACCUCUUGGGGAUGAGGAUUCUACUCAGUACCGCAGUGUUGUUGGAGCAUUGCAAUAUCUCACACUCACUCGCCCUGAUAUUUCCUUUCCAGUCAAUAAGGUUUGUCAAUUUCUGCAUGCUCCUACUACUGUUCAUUGGACUGCUGUCAAGAGGAUUCUUAGAUAUUUGCAAGGCACUUUGUCUCAUGGUCUUUCUAUUCGCAAAUCCGACUCCAUGUUGGUAAGUGCUUUCUCUGAUGCUGAUUGGGCUGGCUGCCCUGAUGAUAGAAAGUCCACUGGAGGUUUUGCUGUGUUUGUUGGUAGUAAUCUUGUUUCUUGGACUGCUCGCAAGCAAUCCACUGUGUCUCGCUCCAGUACUGAAGCUGAGUAUAAGGCACUUGCCAAUGCCACGGCUGAAAUCAUUUGGGUACAAAAUCUAUUGACUGAGUUGGGGAUUGCUCAUCCGACUGCUGCCUCCCUUUGGUGUGAUAACUUGGGUGCAACCUAUCUCUCUGCCAAUCCUGUUUUUCAUGCUCGUACCAAGCAUAUUGAGAUUGACUAUCAUUUUGUCCGUGAACGGGUUGCUCAGAAGUUGUUGCAUAUUCGGUUCAUUCCAACUGGAGAUCAAGUGGCGGAUGGUUUCACUAAACCGCUUACCGCUCGCCAGUUAGAUGUUUUUCGUCGCAAUCUCAACUUAGAUAAGUUAUGAUUGAAGGGGAGUGUUAGACAUUGUAACAUUAGGCGUGCGUGUUUGUUUAAGUUAGGAUUGAUCUUGUAGAUAUAUCCUUUGUAUAGAUAAAGAUCAAUCCUAACCACCUUGUAAAUCUUGUGUAUUCGGUUGGCUUAUGCCUUAUAUAAACACGCAUACGUCCCUGCAUAACGCAUACGUUUUUACCCCAGUUAUUCUCACAUUUCCGAGCAGAUAUCCCUGAUUCUUUUCAUCGAUCUGCUGACGGCGAGUUAGUUCUAGCGGCUAAUCUCAUACUUUGGUUGAUUCAUAUUGCAACUGGGCAAGGCAGAUAUGCCAUGGCCUCUGAACUCCAUGUGCCAUCUUCCUUUGUGUGUUUCAUUUAUUUGGGGGAGAACGAGAUUGAGAUGCAGAUAAUGAACAUAGGAGACUGAUCAUGUAAUUGGCCUUCCUCCAACCCGAUUCAUUUGCCUAAAUAUGAUGUCUGCGCGUCGGUUGUUUUUCUUCUACUCAUGCAUUAGGGGACAUGGGCAGAAGCUUCUCGAACUUUUCACACUACCUCCGGCCAUCCAUUGAUUGUUUUAUUACUUCUUGCACGAGACACAUGCAUUCAGUCGUCAGAAGCAGCCUCUCGGCCAUUGCACACCCAUGUGUCCACGUCCCGUCGCAUGUCCGUGUCCCGUCGAUAGCAAGGCACAAGAAUCAACAUGAUACAAACAUCCCUAGAGCAUGAUGUUGUACCGAGUGUGGGAUCCCAGACUGUUCAGCAGUGGUGAAAUAGAAAAUCAAUGUAUCAUGUAUGACUCCAUCAACUAUAUAGAUGAAUGUAUAUUGGGGAAGGCACAUGGCAGCAAGUUCACGUACAAACUGAAGGUAUUGACCUCGCGACAAGCGUGCUGACCUUUUUUCUUCAUCAGCAGCUUCUCGAGUAUGGCAGCAACUGCACGAGCGGCCAUGAAGGCAUCCUGUCACCCCAUUGGCAGCAGAAACAGGUUCACGAGCAUGAUACAGUCAAUCAGGCGUACCCCCGGGUUUGGAUAAAAGAAUUAUUUUUUCUACAGUUAGACAUAUUUGCUCUCCAAGAAAGCAAUGAAAUAGUCAGUACUUUUAUUAAGCUCUUUCACUAUUAUGUCCAUGAUGAUACAGUCAACAGUCAAAGCUAUGGAGGGCAUGAGAAAGAUUCAGGUUUGUCUUUCACGAGUAUGAAAACGAUUCAUGUUAGCUAGCUUAGCUUGGCGUACUAACUACACACUCAUGGCCUAGAUGCAAUAAUGUCAGGUAACGUUGCAAUUGUUAGUCUAUACAAGUUCUGUUUGUAGAUAGCUAUAGUGAUUAUCUUUUCACAAUAUAUUGUACUAAGCUAAGCAUGACACGCCUUGAUGGAAAUGCAUGAUGUUAUGUGUCUUAUCUACUAUUUAAUGUUGAACAAUUAAUUUUUAGCAUUGUGCAACUAAAUAAAUUAUUUAAUUUUUUGCUACCACGUUCAUAUAGUACCAAAUGUAUCCCUUCUACUUAACUUACUCAUGUCAUGUCCUAUACCAAUAUUGCUAGAACUUUUGUUUUGACAAAGCAUAAUAAAUCUAUACUAAAUUAUGGAUGGUCAAAGUUGAAACCAACACAUAGCACGACGACAACACAUCUCCUUAUAAUCACGACUGUCAAAAACUCGGCCAGUUUCAGUUAAAUUAAGCAUCUUUUAUUUAGUGGAAGAAGAGAGUUAUUGAAAAUAUAUGCAUCCUUUUCUCUAUGAUAUAUAGAGCAUGGAAGUACAACUCCACGGCAUGUGAAUUUUCCGAAUCAUAAUACCAUGAAUGUCCAUAUAGAGUUGUUGGAAUACACAUAAUUUUUGUGCUCAUAUUUCCGCGUCACAUGCAUGGAUAAUAACCUUUAAGUUUAAACCAAUUACCAUCUCAAACUAACAAUGGUUGUAUUUAUAAACAGGGAAGAGACACUGGAAGACAAACGUUACUAUAUAGGAAAACACAACUACAGUUCAACGACAUUGUUUAGCUCAGAUAUCUAUAUAAUUAUUUUCCUAAAUUGUAAGCAAUUUUUGUCCAUUGGUCUAACCUUUAGGUAUAAAGUACUAUACGGACGUGAUGUUUUUGUAAAAAUGUUCAAAAAAAUCUGAUUUUUUUAGCAAACUUUAACAAAUGUUCUAAGUGCCCAUAAAAUUUCAUCAUGAAAUCACAUCUUUGGAAGUCGUGGCAAAAUAAAAUAAAAUCGAAACUUUGAAAAUGCUACUUUCAAAGCAUUUUGGAUCGCUAUUUGUUUUUGCCACGACUUCAAAAACUGUGAUUUCGUGCUGAAAUUUUGCAAGGUACUAAAAAAAUUGUCAAAGUUUGCUGUAAAAUAAAACCAGAUUUUUUGAAACAUUUUUAAAAUAUUUUACGAAUUUACUGUUCACCCGGCAGCAUUUUGGAUCGCUAUUUGUUUUUGCCACGACUUCAAAAACUGUGAUUUCGUGCUGAAAUUUUGCAAGCUACUAAAAAAAUGUCAAAGUUUGCUGUAAAAUAAAACCAGAUUUUUUUAAACAUUUUACGAAUUUACUGUUCACCCGAGCAGCAUUUUGGAUCGCUAUUUGUUUUUGCCACGACUUCAAAAACUGUGAUUUCGUGCUGAAAUUUUGCAAGCAGGAUUAGGAAAGAAAGCCAAACCGAGUCCUAGUAGUAUUAGGAUUCCUAGUCCUAGUCUAUUUCCAUAGUCCCUUGUGGACGUGUAUAAAAGACACCCUAGGGGUGUUGAUUGUAACACCAGAAAAACGAAAAGCAAUACAAAGCAAAGGCUCGACACGGGCCUUUAGCCAUCAAAUCCAUCGAUCAGUUUUAUUCGUGUCGCUAGUUACGCAAGUUCCGUCAAGUAGCCGGCCGAAGCAAGAAUCGCGUAGGCACGCCUGUACAGCUGCAUACGCACGUUCAAAAGCCAACAAUUGGUAUCUAGAGCCUCAACGAUCUACGAUCUACGAUGACGGACAGCGACGCUGAGUCGGUCGAGUCCGGCAGCAGCGGUGCCAAGGCGAACAAGAACGACGACAAGGUGAAGAAGGGCGUCAAGUCAGCAACUAGUGGUGGAGGAAUGAGCGGCGCUAACGUCCAGGCGCAUCGCAACAUCCCCAUCCAGUACCCGAUGCUCACCGACGCCAACUACGGCGUGUGGGCGGUGAAGAUGAAGAUUAUUCUUCGAUCCCUUCGAGUGUGGGAGGCCAUCACGGACGACGACGUCGACGAGGAGCGCGACGAAGGUGCCAUGGCCGCCAUAGCCCAGUCUGUGCCGGAUUCCGUGCUGAUGACAUUGGCGGAGUUCGAGACGGCAAGAGAGGCGUGGAACGCACUCAAGGAGAUGAGGAUCGGAGAAGAUCGCGUCACCAAGGCUCGGGCACAAGUGCUUAAGCGCCAAUUUCACAAGUUGCAGAUGGAGGAAACUGAAUCUGUGAAUGACUAUGCCAUGCGUCUUACUACUUUGGUGGGAGAGAUCCGCGCGCUUGGUGCAAAGCUCGAUGAGACCGAGAUCGUGGAGAAAUUUUUCAGUUCUGUCACUGAUAAAUUCACGUACAUCAUCGGCACGCUCGAGCAGCUUUACGACAUCGACGACAUGACCAUAACGGAGGCGAUCGGACGAUUGCGGACAUGGGAAGAGAAUGCUCGUGGCUGUCGGAAAGGCAAAGGAGGAGGUAGUGACCAACUCAUGUACUCGCGCACAGAUUGGGAGGCCCAAAGUAGAAAAGGAAGGCGUGACGGUGGCGAAGGCUCAAGCAACACGAAGGGCGAUGGACAAACCGGAAAAGGCAAAGGAAAAGGCAAACCACAAGGUCGUGGUAAGGCGGGCCAAUCUAAAGAGCAGAAACCACGGAACUUGGACUUGUCCGAGGUCAAGUGCUAUAACUGCAAUAAGAUGGGUCACUUUGCGAAGGAUUGUCCAAAGCCUAACAAGCGGGAGAUCAAGGCAAAUUUGGCAAAGCAGGAAGACGAAGGUCCAGGUCUUCUGAUGGCCGAAGUUUGUGAUCUCGCUGAAACGGUGGUUGUGAAACCAAGCCGGAAGGUGCUACUUCAUGAGGAAAAAGUGACACCAAAGUUAUCCGGUGAUCAGAACGUGUCGUGGUAUCUCGACACGGGUGCCAGUAACCACAUGACGGGGUGCAAGGAGAAAUUCCUCGAGCUGGAAUUCGAUGUUGAAGGCUCGGUCAAGUUCGGUGAUGGUUCAGCUGUGGAGAUUUGCGGGCAAGGAUCUGUCCUCUUUGAGGGUCUCACAGGCGAACAUCGCAUACUCACCGGAGUGUACUACAUCCCACGGCUGCGCAACAACAUCAUCUCUAUUGGGAAGCUUGACGAGAAUGGAUGCAAGGCGAAUAUAGAGAGCGGAGUGAUGACGAUCUUCGACAACCUCCGAAACGUGCUAGCUCGUGUUAAUCGCACACGGAAUAGGCUCUAUAUCCUCAACCUUGAUCAAUCUCAACCGGAGUGUUGGCUUGCCAAGAGUGAUGAUGAUUCGUGGUUAUGGCAUGCUAGAUUUGGACACGUUAACUUCUACGCCUUGAAGAAGAUGUCAAAGAUGCAGAUGGUAUCCGGGAUGCCAGUUAUCGACCAUGUUGAUCGAGUAUGUGACGGGUGCUUGGUUGGAAAACAGCACCGCAGGCCAUUCCCUGCUCAGUCUACCUAUCGUGCAAGUGAUGCACUCGAGCUGCUCCAUGGUGAUCUAUGUGGCCCUAUCACCCCGGCAACUCACGCUGGAAAGAAGUAUUUCUUCCUUGUGGUAGACGAUUACUCGAGAUAUAUGUGGGUCAUUCUCCUACGAUCUAAAGAUGAGGCGUUUGAAGCGUUCAAGAAAUUGAAGGCUGCAACAGAGAUGGAACACAAGCUAAAGGUUCGCGCUCUACGGACAGAUCGCGGCGGAGAGUUUACGUCGAAUGAGUUCAACGACUACUGCGAGAAGAUUGGCAUAAAGAGGUUCCUCACGGCACCUUACACGCCGCAGCAGAAUGGGGUCGUUGAAAGGCGCAAUCGAACCGUCGUUGACAUGGCAAGGAGUUUACUCAAGAGCAAGAACCUGCCAGGGACCUUUUGGGGAGAAGCUGUCUCGACGGCGGUCUAUCUUCUCAACCGGGCUCCAACGAAGGCGGUGAUCGGCAAGACUCCGUAUGAAGCAAUUUACGGAUGUAAGCCGAAUGUGUCUCAUCUACGGACAUUCGGGUGCGUGGCACAUGUGAAGACGGCGGAGCCGCACCUCUCAAAGCUUGUCGAUCGUAGCACCAAGAUGGUGUUCAUCGGAUACGAGAGCAGUUCUGGCACCAAGGCAUACCGUUUCUACGAUCCACAAACCAAGCGUCUACGGAUUUCACGCGACGUCGUGUUUGAAGAAAACCAAGCGUGGAAUUGGAGCGCCGCAGCCGACGAUGCUCCAAACAGUAACAUAUUUGCAGUUGAAUUUCCAACUGAUGAUGAUGCAGGGGAGGAUGUCCAGGUGAUUGGCAAGACGCCCAACCAAGGUGACCACAACGGUAGUGAUCAUCAUGGUGCCGACACCGACGACGACGCGCAUAGGUCGCAAGGAGAUAGCGACAACGCCGCGCACGACACAGGCGGAGAUCUCGACGACAACAUCGACACCGAGGCGCAUAGUGACGACGACAAUCAAGAUGAUGGUCACGGUCACGACGACUACGCCGACGACACGGAUGUCGAUGACACACCAAGGUCUCAGCCGUCUGCCUCAAGUGCAUCAACGCCGACACAAUUUGUGUCGCCUCCUUCGCAAGCCACAACGGACUCCUCAGGGCCUCGUCGCUACAAGACCCUCAAGAAAGUCUACAAGUACACAAAGCCAGUUACGCUCGAGUACUCCGGACUAUGUCUGUUCGGAGUUGAGGAGCCGGCGAACUUCGUAGAGGCGAGAAAAAGUCCUAGCUGGACGCACGCCAUGGAUGAGGAGAUGAAGGCAAUUGAGAGCAAUGGCACGUGGACUUUGGUAACCCGACCUCCAAACCAAAAGACGAUAGGUUUGAAGUGGGUUUACAAGUUAAAGAAGGACACGGAGGGUGCCAUUGUGAAGUACAAGGCAAGACUCGUUGCAAAGGGCUACGUUCAACGUCAAGGAGUUGACUAUGAUGAGGUGUUUGCACCGGUUGCUCGAAUCGAGACGGUGAGAGUGCUCCUAGCUUUGGCAGCACAAGAGGAUUGGAAGGUUCAUCAUAUGGAUGUUAAAUCCGCUUUCCUCAACGGCGAUCUCACAGAAGAAGUGUACGUGGAACAACCCCUCGGCUACGAGAAGAAAGGCGAAGAAGGGAAAAUUUACAAGCUCAAGAAGGCACUUUACGGGUUAAAGCAAGCGCCAAGAGCUUGGAACUCAAAGUUAGACCGAAGUCUGGUCUCGCUCGGGUUCAAGAGAUGUCCCCUCGAGCACGCAGUCUAUACAAAGAACUCCAAAGGCUCAAACCUGCUAGUUGGAGUUUAUGUCGACGAUCUGAUUAUCACCGGAGAUAGCGUACAAGAAAUUGAACGUUUCAAGGCGCAAAUGAAGAACAAGUUUAGCAUGAGUGAUCUGGGAUUACUCAGCUAUUACUUGGGCAUCGAAGUGAAGCAAAGCUCCGGAGAGAUUUCCCUAUGUCAAUCGGCUUACGCGGUCAAGUUAUUGGACAAGUGUGGCAUGUCAGAUUGCUACGCGACACAAGUUCCAAUGGACCAACGUCACAAGUUGAGCAAGGGUAGCUCAAAUCCGCCGGUGGACACCACAAUGUAUCGAAGCGUUGUGGGUAGCCUAAGAUACUUGGUGCAUACCCGACCUGACUUGGCUUAUUCAGUCGGGAUCGUGAGUCGUUUCAUGGAGAAACCGACAACCGAACACAUGAGCGCGGUCAAUCAAAUUCUACGCUAUGUGAAAGGCACAAUUAACCUUGGCUGCACGUACAGAAAGGGAAAGGAAGGAUUGAUCCUUCGUGGAUAUUCAGAUAGUGACAUGGCAGGUGAUGUUGAUGACCGAAAGAGCACAACGGGCAUGGUUUUCUACCUUGGCCCGAAUCCGAUUAGCUGGAAUUCUCAGAAGCAAAAGGUGGUGGCACUGUCUUCAUGCGAGGCAGAAUACAUAGCGGCAAGCACGGCGGCUUGUCAAGCAGUGUGGCUGAGAAGACUCCUAGCUAUUCUUGCAAAGCGGGAGGUGCAGAAGGUGUCACUGAAGAUCGAUAACCAAGCUGCAAUCUCGUUAUGCAAAAAUCCGGUUCAUCACGAAAGGAGCAAGCACAUAGAUACCCGGUUCCAUCAUAUCCGGGAGUGCAUUGAAGAAGGGUUGAACGAGGUUCAACAUGUGAACACGAAAGACCAACUUGCCGAUAUUUUCACCAAGUCCCUCGGUCGACAGAAGUUCAUCGAGAUGAGGAGGAAAGUCGGAGUGCAAGAAGUGAAGUCAAGCAAUAAGAUUAAGGAGGUGAAUGUAGAUGUUAAUCAUGUUGCUCAUGUAGGAUUAGGAAAGAAAGCCAAACCGAGUCCUAGUAGUAUUAGGAUUCCUAGUCCUAGUCUAUUUCCAUAGUCCCUUGUGGACGUGUAUAAAAGACACCCUAGGGGUGUUGAUUGUAACACCAGAAAAACGAAAAGCAAUACAAAGCAAAGGCUCGACACGGGCCUUUAGCCAUCAAAUCCAUCGAUCAGUUUUAUUCGUGUCGCUAGUUACGCAAGUUCCGUCAAGUAGCCGGCCGAAGCAAGAAUCGCGUAGGCACGCCUGUACAGCUGCAUACGCACGUUCAAAAGCCAACACUUUUGCUGCUAGAAGCUCUGAGCUAAGAGCAACUCUAGCAGAUCUCUGCUAGAGUUGCGAGUUGCUCUGCGGGGGAAAACUGCAUAAUAUUGGUGAGACUGGAGCUUCUCUUCUCCUGUUCUGCUCAGCUCUGCUGAAUCCCUUCCUCUUUCUCAUCCUCUCGGUUGUCAUUUGUUUCUAGAUUGUAAGGAAGAGAGCAAGGCAGCCAUGGAACUGGCGACGGGAGCCAUGGAACUGGCGACGGGAGCCAUGGGCUCCCUCCUCCUCAAGCUGGCCGACCUGCUCAAGGAGGAGUACAAGCUGCACAAGGACCUCAGGAAGGAAGUGGAGUCUCUCUCACUAGAUCUUGAGAGCUUGCACGGCGCCCUCCACAAGGUGGCUCAAGUGCCGCGCGACCAACUCGACGAGCAGGUCUGGAUCUGGGCCCGCGAGGUCAGGAAGGCGUCGUAUGCCAUGGAGGACAUCGUCGACUCCUUCCUGGUGCGCGUGGAUGACGGCCAUGA
rnacentral:lncRNA from 1 species